rnacentral:lncRNA from 1 species
GUCCAUGUUGCUCAUCUUCACCAUGGACAUGGCGAACUGCCUGAAGAAGGCAGACUGGCUGAGCGCGAACCGCGUGGUCAAGAGCCUCGUGUCGGGGUGGUCGAUGAGGGCCUGGUCGGACUUGAACAAUCCCUGCCUGACGAUGAGGUCGAAGUAGUACUUGUUGUCGAACACGUCGGGCGUGCGCACGUCGAGGGUCUGAUUGACGGUGCCCUGGGGCACGUCCUUGGCGCACUUGGCCCGCAGCCUCCUGGCGAAUAGCGGGUCGAUGAGCGGGUUGAGGUCGAUGUUGGGAGCGAAGCGGUCGGAGAAGACGGGGCAGUGGGCGACGCCGAAGGUGUGCGCGCCGGAGAGCGAGACGAGGUCGGCCACGUCGAGGCUCCGGUUGCCGAAGGAGGAGAUGAGAGUCGGCACGUCGAAGGAGGGCGCCGGCAGGGUGUCCACGAGGUCCUGGGACGCCGGGGCGAGCCCGUCGCGGCGGCCGAGGGCGACGUCGAAGUGUGGCCCGCCAGCCUGCAUCCACCACGUACGUACUCGUUGAUUAAUCGGUUCUGCUCAGGUUGAAAAUAUCGUCUGACAUAUGUACGCUUGUGUGGAGCAUAUGGCCGGCAGGCAUGAAGUGGAGUGUACCUGUACGAGGGCGUCACGGGUGGCGAGGACGGUGAUGUCGGCGCAGGAGACGGUCGGGCCGCAGGCGGCAUGGACGGCGGCGCGGAUGCGCUCGAUGAGGUCGAGAGCAACGGGGCGGAGCGUCUGGUUGGGCACCGCAUUCAGCUCGCUGUUGUUCCCGGUGAGGAGCACCGACGCGUCGCAGCCCUGCGGGAAGCAGUCGUGGAAGAGGAUGCGGAUGAGGGCGGGGGCGACGCCGACGUCGCGCCGGAAGGUCUCCGCCACGAGGUCCCCCACGAUCUUCUCCAGGCCCGGGCACGACGCGGCGUGGAAGCCCCGGGACAGCCCGCCGGCGUCCGCGGCCGAGAUGGUCGACUGGGCGGCGCAGAUCAAGGCUGCCAGGACGAGGACGGUCGCUGUUGCUCUGGACGCCAUUGCUGUCGCCCUACAGAGAUGUAGCUGAGCUUUUUUGCACGAUGAUGGUCGUGUGGCUUGCUCAAGCUAUGGACACUAAACCCUUGUUAUUUAUACACGGCCAAGUGGCUAACCACCCCACAGCUGGGUAGGUACGUACGUGGCUUAACUCGAUAUUAAUUAUCUACAAGGUGGAAAACAUGUGCAAGUCGGUGCCUGAAAUUUCCCAGAACUUUCCGUAUGCCUUGCGCCCAACAACCCCUUCACUGCGUAUGUGAGUAAUUUACGAUUAGGAUGUGUGACAUCGAUCCAAGUGGGACAUAUACAUAAGGGGUCUGGAAUCAUUUUGAAUGACGCCGAGCUGGCUACGUACGACCUACAGGGAUAGGAUCAGCCUGAGCUUCUUAACCCUCAAAAGAGUUAAGUCAUCAAAAUAUUCUCUUGAUCGAUGCGUGCGUUCCCACACAACCAUCUCAAAGCAUCUCCUGGUCCAAAUUUAACGAUCCAGCCCGUGGGGGGGGGGGGGGGGGCGGCCCGGCCCGUGAAAGUCCUCGGCCCCCCUCCCAGGUCGCACGUAGCCUAUGGGGAUAGCUCUGCAAGGCAGAAGCGCACGUAGAAGUAGACUAAUGUAGAUGCGCAGCCAACGUAGGACGUGACCGAUGGACAAGAUCGUGCACAUCACUACCACGCGAAGAUAAUGGGCCCGACCCAGCGCCAUGGGCAUCAUUACCGUGGUUCAGGAAGACCCAAGGUAAAAAACUAAAUUAACGCACAAUGCUCAGUCUUGUUUUUUAGGUCGUCACGCCCAAACUCCCAUCCCAAUCACGGCAAGGCCAUUGCGUGUUUGCCGCAUGUGUUUGCCUCCGAUGCGGGGGCGACACUACGACAGAUGAGCAUCCAAAUAGGGUAGUCAUCUAGAUCUGGUAGGUCAAUUUGCUCCUUUUGAUUCAAUCUUGUGGGUUUUAUGAAUUUUGGGGUUUCUUGAUUUCGGGGAAAAAAUUAUAGUUACAAUGAGAGGAUUUUUGUUUGGCAUUUCAAAAUUAGUAGCCAUGCUGCUAUUGUUCGGUUAUGAAAAUUGGGAAUAUGGGACGAUGUCUACUGCAACAGGAUUAUGAUUAAUCAUUGAAUCGUGUCAAGUUAUUUAUUAACUCGAUAAUCAAUGUUAUGGUUUUGUAGUGCAGCUGCAAAAGCAUUAUGUCCAAGGCAUGUUGAUAGUUCCUUCCGUAUUGAAGAUUCCAACUUAGAUCUCCGGUAUCAAAGUUUUGAUAGAAAAUGAUGUUUUUGGAUUUGGAGAUGAUAUCAAAUAAUAUUGGAUUUUCUGUCGGUACAAUGGGUUUCUCAUAUACCGUAGCUAAAGUUUGACUGUUUGACUCACUAUACAUGUGUUUUAUCUCCAGGGCUUAGAAGAUGUUUCUAAUGCUUCAUAAAAAACAAAGAUUCUUAUCAAGAAGCACAUGAACACGGAGGCACUACAUGAGUUGAUGAUGAUCAAGGUAUGAUUGUUUUUGUUCUACUAUAAGAAGCACAUGCAUCUUUCAAAUAGCUACAUAUUGAUAACAAAUAAUGGAGAAUAAUGUGAGAUACGUAAAUGUCCCAGAGAGGUUAAAAGUUUUGCAACUUAGUAUAUCAAGAAUAAAUUGUUGAAUAAGAUUGAUAUCAAUACCAUCAUCCCUGAGAUUGCAUCUCGGAAUGUUAGACCCAAAUUUUGAGAUACAUAUAUAAAAAUUAUGUGAUUUUAAAUGCAUUUUAAGCGUUACACGACAACAUUUUUUACGUUUAUGAAUUUAUGUUAAAGGGUCCCGGGUUCUAGUUUCGCCCCGGAUCCCCGAAAUCUCAGGACCGGCCCUGGGUCCAAAUUCAAAUCACUAAAAGGUGCUUUUUAUAAAAAGGCUCAACUUCAACAGAUGAUCUAAAACGAAGAUGUAAAAAAAGAGCAUCUCCAAUAGAUGGUCCAAAACAAAGAUGCAAAACCGACCGACGGCCGCACGACUGCUAUUCAGCCACUUUACAGCCGCGGUUUUGCGUUCAAAUAUCACUUCAAAUUCGAAAUAAAGUGCAUCAUCAUCAUAGUUCAAAUCAUAACAAAAGUGCAUCACCAUCAUUAUAGUUUACAAUCCCUCUACCAAAAGUGCAACGUCCCAAUCAAAGUUUUUUGGCGUACAAAUUAAAAUACACAUGAAUAUCAUUCAUGCGGAACAUCAACACCAUCGACGUUGUGAACUGUGGUACGAUCGUCAUCAUACACAUUUCAUCGAACAUGUUGGAGGCGGUGGCCGUCGGCGUGGCCAAAUCUUCCUCCACGUCCGGCGGUGGCAGCGGUGGAGGUGGGGGAUGUUGGGGAACGUUGCAUGGGAAACAAAAAAAUUCUACGCACACGCAAUACCUGUCCAUGGUGAUGAUCAUCUACUAGAAGGGAGAGUGAAUCUACAUACCCUUAUAGAUCGCUAAGCGGAAGCGUAUAUAUUGCGGUUGAUGUAGUGGAACAUCUUCGCAAUCCAAAUCACAGCCCGUCCCACGAUCUCAUCACGAUUCGUCCCGCGAUCCCAUCACGAUCCUUCCCGAUCUAGUGUCGAACGGACGACACCUCCGCGUUCAGCACACGUACAGCUAGAUGAGGAUGUCCACCUUCUUGAUCGAGCAAGAGGGGACGGAGAGGUAGAUGAGUUCUCCAGCACGACGGCGUGGUGGUGGUGGUGGUACUAUUCCAGCACGGAUUCGCCUAAGCACCAUUGAAACUAGAGGAGAAAUAGAUCUAGAGAGAGAGGGCAACACGUGGCUGUUUUCUAUUUUUUUUCUAAAUCCCUCAAAACCCUUAGUAUAUAUAUAGUAGGAAAGGAGGGAGAGUGUUGCGCCCUAGGGCUGCCCUUUCUUCCCUUGCGCAAGGAGGAGAGGAGGAGUCCUCCUUCAAUCCUAGUAGGAGUAGGCUUCCUCCUUCCCAGUUGGAAACUCUUUCCACCUUGUGUUUUUUCCUUCUCAAACCUUAUGGGCCUUAGUGGAAACUUAUUCCAGCCCACUAGGGGCUGGUUUAUCUCUUCCCAUAUCCCAUGAGGCCCCUUGGGGUGUGACACCCCUGCCGAUGGUCUCCGGCACCCCUCACGGCACUCCCGGUACACUACCGAUCAGCUCGAAACUUUUCCGGUGAUCAAAACAUGACUUCCUAUAUAUCAAUCUUUACCUUCGGACCAUUUCAGAGCUGCUCGUGACGUCCUCGAUCUCAUCCAGGACUCCGAACAACCUUUGGUCACCAACACAUAUAACUCAACUAUACCGAACCUUAAGUGUGCAGACCCUGCGGGUUCGAGAACUAUGCAGACAUGACCUGAGACACUCUCCGGUCAAGAACCAAUAGCGGGACCUGGAUGUACAUAUUGGCUCCCACAUAUUCUACGAAGAUCUCUAUUGGUUGAACCUCUAUGUCAAGGAUUCAGUUAAUCCCGUAUGUUGUUCCCUUUGUCCUUCGGUAUGUUACUUGUUGGGUUACGUAGCAUAAAUUCAAAAUUUUCCUACGCAUAUUCAGAUCUUCCUAUGGAGAGACCAGCAACGAGAGAGGGGUAAGAGCAUCUUCAUACCUUUGAAGAUCGCUAAGCGGAAGGGUUGCUAGAACGCGGUUGAUGGAGUCGUACUCGCAGCGAUUCCGAUCUAGUGCCGAACUACGACACCUCCGCGUUCAACACACGUGCAACCUGGUGACGUCUCCCACACCUUGAUCCAGCAAGGAGGAGGGAGAGGUUGGGGAAGAACUCCAGCAGCACGCGGCGUGGUGUCGAUGGAGAGACGAGGUCUCCCGGCAGGACUUCGCCAAGCACCGGUAGAGAGGAGGAGAAAGAAGAGCAGGGCUGCGCCGAGGGAGAGGGAAAAGUCUAUCUCUCAAUGGCAAAAAGUGCCCGAUAUAUAUAGGGGGAGGGGAGAGGGGGUGCCACCCCUAGGGUUCCCACCCUAGGGGGUGCGGCAGCCCCCCAGAUGGGAGGUGCGGCGGCCAGAGGGGGGAGGAGGGGGUGGCGCACCAUCUGGUGGGCCUUAGGCCCACCUGGCUUAGGGUUUGCCCCCCCCCCUUUUCUCUCCCCUGCGCAUUGGGCUGAGUGGGGAGGCGCACCAGCCCACCUAGGGGUUGGUUCCCACCCCCACUUGGCCCACCUUACCUCCCGGGGUCGUUUCCCCCCUUCGGUGGUCCCGGUGGUCCCGGUGGUCCCACUAUGUUACCGGUGAUGCCCGAAACACUUCCGGUAUCCGAAACCAUCCGUCCUAUAUAUCAAUCUUUACCUCCGGACCAUUCCGGAGCUCCUCGUGACGUCCGGGAUCUCAUCCGGGACUCCGAACAUCUUUCGGUAACCUCGUAUAACAAUUCCCUAUAACCCUAGCAUCAUCGAACCUUAAGUGUGUAGACCCUAUGGGUUCGGGAGACAGGCAGACAUGACCGAGACACCUCUCUGGCCAAUAACCAUCAACGGGGUCUGGAUACCCAUGGUGGCUCCCACUUGCUCCACGAUGAUCUCAUCGGAUGAACCAUGAUGUCAAGGAUUCAAUCAAUCCCGUAUACGAUUCCCUUUGUUUGUCGGUAUAGAACUUGCCCGAGAUUCGAUCGUCGGUAUACCUAUACCUUGUUCAAUCUCGUUAACGGUAAGUCUCUUUACUCGUUUCGUAGCACGUCAUCGUGUGACUAACUCCUUAGUCACAUUGAGCUCAUGAUGAUGUUCUACCGAGUGGGCCCAGAGAUACCUCUCCGUCACACGGAGUGACAAAUCCCGAUCUCGAUUCGUACCAACCCAACAGACACUUUCGGAGGUACCCGUAGUGCACCUUUAUAGUCACCCAGUUACGUUGUGACGUUUGAUACACCCAAAGCACUCCUACGGUAUCCGGGAGUUGCACAAUCUCACGGUCGAAGGAAAAGAUACUUGACAUUAGGAAAGCUUUAGCAUAGGAACAAUGCGAUCUAGUGCUAUGCUUAGGAUUGGGUCUUGUCCAUCACAUCAUUCUCCUAAUGAUGUGAUCCCGUUAUCAAUGACAUCUAAUGCCCAUGAUCAGGAAACCAUGAUCAUCUAUUGACUAACGAGCUAGCCAACUAGAGGCUUGCUAGGGACACAUUGUGAUCUAUUUAUUCACACAUGUAUUACUGUUUCUUGUUAAUACAAUUAUAGCAUGAACAAUAGACGAUUAUCAUGAACAAGGAAAUAUGAUAAUAACCAUUUUAUUAUUGCCUCUAGGGCAUAUUUCCAACAUUACUUGCCCGAGAUUCGAUCGUCGGUAUCUUCAUACCUAGUUCAAUCUCGUCAUCGGCAAGUCUCUUUACUCAUUCCGCAAUAAAAGAUCCCGUAACUAACUCCUUAGUCACAUUGCUUGCAAGGCUUGUUGUGAUGUUGUAUUACUGAGUGGGCCCCGAGAUAUCUCUCCGUCACACGGAGUGACAAGUCCCAGUUUUGAUCCAUGCCAACCUAACAGACACCUGGAGAUACCUGUAGAGCACCUUUAUAGUCACCCAGUUACGUUGCGACGUUUGAUAGCCCACAAGGUAUUCCUCUGGUGUCCGGGAGUUGCAUGAUCUCAUGGUCAUAGGAACCGAUACAUUGACAUGGGGAAAACAGUAACAAUAAACUGACACGAUCAUUUGCUACGUUCAUAAUUUUGGGUCUUGUCCAUCACAUCAUUCUCCCAAUGAUGUGAUCCCGUUAUCAAGUGACAACACUUGUCUAUGGUCAGGAAACCUUGACCAUCUUUGAUCAAUGAGCUAGUCAACUAGAGGCUCACUAGGGACAGUGUGUUGUCUAUGUAUCCACACAUGUAUUUGAGUUUCCAAUCAAUACAAUUCCAGCAUGGAUAAUAAACGAUUAUCAUGAAUAAAGAAAUAUAAUAAUAACCAAUUUAUUAUUGCCUCUAGGUCAUAUUUCCAACAGAGGAAAGGCUCCUUGGCUGGUAGAGGACGUGGCCGGCCCUAGCUGCGAGUCAUCGGCCCGAGCCCGCCGGCUGCCUUUGAGUUUUUGCCCAGCCGUGAUUAGCCAACCGUUUUCAUGCCUUCGGCGCCUUCGCAGGAACCGUCGGUGCAGGGGCAACCGGCCGGGGCGGCGGACGGGUACGGUGACAUGGACGAGGCGGCAGAGGGCGAGUUCGCCGCAACCGUGGCGGCCGACGGGCGGGUCGUGGGCUGGCGGUCGCGAUGCGGGAGGUGAAUGAACUAGCGGUUAGGCGUUGGCGUGGGGACGCGGUUUUUACAUCACUUGUAUCUUGUGAUGUAAAUUUGCAUCAUGCAGUUUUCAUUUUUACAUCACCGGGAGGCCGCAAUUGAUUUUUUUACAUAUGGACCGUUUGUUGGAGCAUUGUUUUUUUCCCAAGACGAUCCAAAAUUUAGGUAUUUUUACAUUUGUAUCAUCUAUUGGAGAUGCUCUUACAAAGGGUUAACUCAACAAAAUAUUCUCUUUUGAGGGGUUAACCGCACCUAGCUGGACGCCUGGACUCCUAUCCGGCUAACUCCUUAAGUAUUUGAGGAGUUAAGCGUGAAAAACUUCUCAAGGCUCUCAUUUUUGAGUGGGCGAGACAAGUUAUCGGCAAAACACCCCCGCUUCCCAACUCCUUCUCGCGACGCAUCCGCUAAUCAGUGUCACAGUCAGAGCCAUCGGAUACCCCCAUUUCGACGGGAAUGACAUGGGAGGGCGCUUCCAUGUCAAGGAAGCACUCGGGACAAAUAGCGUGGUGAGAACCAUCGCACCGUCGAAAAAGGCAAGCCGUAAGGGUAUGCUUUCACGAAGACGAGAGGUUCCCCUCCAUUUGCUCCGGCUGGUGGCAAGCGAGUGAGGAAGCCACCAGUGGCCGACAAGACGCUUAACAAAGUGCCGGCAAAGAAAAGGAAGAAGAUGUGCACGUCGACGCCUUCUCUGUCAUAGCCCUUCUCCAGCAUCCCCUAUCACCUCCUCCUUUAGCGCGUUUGCCCGCGGCGGAGGUCUGCCAACUACUCGACAAAAUGUCAAAAUGCAUGUGGGGUAAUUUGUUUUUCUGCUGUGGAUAUUGGUAGUAAUGUUUUGCAGCGGAUAUCUUGGGACGUGCUUGUGGUUGUUUAUUUUAGUGUGGAGGAGCAGUUGCAAAUUUCAUGUCUCAAUUGGAUUCAUCACACAUAAUCAGCCUUGACGAUCUAGAUUACGAUGGUCCAAGGUAUGCUCAAGAAACAAGAGAGGGAGGAGGAUGAUCAAAAAGUGAAAGAGGUCAAUGAUCCCGUGGAGCCACAAUAAAGCAUUAUGAAGACGAUAUAGAGGGCAGUAGGGCGUUCAGUGGCACCAUACUAGUUGAGUCUCAUCCAAUUUCGUAUUCUAACCCUUCUUUUGACAUGAUUAACAUUUAUGAACAAUACGCGUGUGAGAUUCUUUCCUCUAAAUGGACAUACAAAGAACGUUGCAAUAAUAAUUUGCACUAAAAGAUACUAUAAAAUCAGGAACUGAAGAUGACAGAUUCCAACAAAAGUGUACCCCUUCUUGAAUAUAUAUAGUAACACUAUUCAUCAUCGAGGGUGUAGAAUGAGUUAUUCUUCAUCCGAAGUAAUCUUACGGUUGUUUCAUAAAUAAUUUUUUUUUUACAAAUAGUUAUAUGCAUAUUGUUUCAUUAUAUAAAAUUUGGCAUAAGAAAACAAUUAUAUAUGUCAGAAGACCAGAAAAAAUGCAUUUUAUGUGUAUUUUACACUAUAUUUUUACGUUUGUAACUUUAAAUAGCGUAAAAUAUUUUUAUGACGAUUUAAUAUUUUCUUUAGUUCCUUUUUUGGUAAAAAGUAAGAAAAAAAAGUACGAACAGUAAAAAUACGGUGCAUUGAUGGUAAAAUAGAGGGGACGAAGAAUAACUAUUCCUCACCUAGGAUGACGAAUAGCGCGACUAUUCGUCACAUCAAUGCACCAUAAUUUUAUGUUCUGUUUUUUCUUCAUACGUAAAAAGAGACCGUAACAAGAUAUAUAGUCAUUAUAAAAAAUAUUUUAUGUCACCUAAAAUUACAAACAUAAAAACAUAGUGUAAAAUAUACAUGAAAUGUGAUUUUUUGAUCUUAUGACCUCUAUUUUUAAUUUUUUACAUCAAAUUUUACGUAAUGGAUCAACAUUAAUGAAACUAUUGGUAUUACAAAUGUAAUAUAUGUAUGAAACGGUCGUAAGAUUACCUGGGUGAGGAAUAACUUAUUUUGCACCCUCGGUGAAUCAUUAUUCAGGAUGCAGAAUAGUUUAUUCUUCAUCCGAGAUAUUUGUACGAUCAAUUUACUAAUAAAUUAAGUUUCAAAUACAAAUAAUUAAAUUUAUAUUGAAUCACUAUGUAAAAUUUGACAAAAUCAAAACAAAAGUAUAGGUCACAAGACUAGAAAAAUUUGAAUUUAUUGUAUUUUUUGCACUAUUUUUGUAUGUUCGUAAUUUUACGUGACAUAAAAUAUUUUUACGUUGAUUAUAUUUUUUUUACUGUCUCUUUUUAUGUAUAAAAUAAGACAAAAUUUACGGAACGUAAAAUUACGGUGCAUUGAUGUUAAAAUUAUGGUGAAUUGAUGUUAAAAUUAUAUAUAUACUAGAUUCAUGCAUGUCAGUAAAAUUUAGCGGCACCGUUCUCGUCGUCACCUAUAUUGUUAAGUGGACUAGUUGGACCAUCGCAAUGACGUGUUGGGUCACCCUUGACACGUGUCAGUGGCAUCUCGAACAUGUUGAGAUAUUCGCCUGCUGUCAGUCGGUGGCCACCACCACUCGAGAACAUUUGUGGCGGGUGUCGAGGGCUUAAGUGAUGUGGUCGUGUGGCAAUAGUUUUUUUUAUAGUGAAGUGAGGCGAUCACACACAGGAAAGAGUGGGGUGCAUGUGGGGGAGAAGACGAUAUGGCAACUAUUGAGUUUAGUCCAUAUUGAUUGUGGGAGCAGGCAUAACAGAAUUUAUAAGGGUGUGGGUGUCCCCUCCUAUCACGCAAGCUUUCUUUUUAAACGAAGGGUCCAAGCCCUGAAUUAAGUCUGUGUUCCUCUCUGGUUGGGCCUGGUUACCGCGCUGAGACGCUCGUGGAGGAUGUGGGUCAUGGUAGUUUGGUGGUUCAGAGGAAGAGGAUGAACAAUAAUGAUUUUUGAGGUUGAAGAAGAUGAUCUGGCCAUCCGUAUUGAAUCCAACGGCUCACAACGAUUCGACUGGCCCAAAUUCGAUUUUCGGUCACGUGACAUCUAUCGAUUCCCAUCAUUUUGCACUAAGUGAUGGACUAUGAUUUGCUCAACCAGUCCACUAAACCCAUGCAAUUUAUACACGGCUAGUUACUUUCAAGCCGGCUUAGGUAGCUAGACAUAUUUUUUCUUGUAAUAAAGGAAUACAUUAAUGUCACUACAAGAAAUAUGCCAACUUGUGACAUUCUCUUGGAGACCGUGAAUGAAUUGGUCGUAAGUCUACGACCAUUUUGAUCGAAUUGGUCAUAAGCUAUUUUAGAGGGUUCAAACCCUCAACCAUAACGACCAUUUUUAGGGGAAAGGUCGCAAUUGCCUGGCAUGAAAUGGUCGUAAAGCAGACAACUAGGAUUGACAACCUUAUUUUUAGCAGAAGACGACCAAUCUAGAUGGCCAUAACCAUGUAAAUUGCGGUGUGUUGCUAUGACCGGGCGCCACCUCAUCAAUUUCGCUUGUGUGUCAUGUAUAUGUGUCAUGUUUAUGUGUUAAUUUACGCUUACUUGUCUAGAUCAAAUAUACCAAUGAUGGGUGGAACCCAUGCAUUGACUGGUUAACCUACACCUCAGACCCACCACCACCUUACACGCUGGACCCAGUACAUCUCGGACCCAACACCAACAUACACGUCGGACCCACCCUAUCAUGGGUCCCACCAACCUGACAUGAAAGACCCACCAUUGAACUGACUUGUUGCCCCACCACGGAUGUGACAUGGAGGCUAAACCGGAGAUAGUAGAAAAAUAGGAAAGAAAUAUGCGUUGAUGGGAUUCGAACCCGUGACGCCCUAAGAGCAAGUUCAGGAGUUCCCCCAUACCUUCCCUGGUCAUUUUUUUAAGGGAGAAAGGCAAAAAAACUGCCUCCAACAGUGCCCCGAUCUACUCCGGAUAUUUUGGCCUCCCCGAAAACGUUUCCUCUCUCCCCUCUAUCUAGGGGAACGAGGACCUCCCCGAUCCCCUCCCCGACAUGCCGAGCGAAGCAACUGCCGGCUCCGAAAAGCUCCCUCCCGCCACCACCCCGCCGCCACCACCGCAUUGCAGGUUCGUUCCCUCCUUUGUUUUCUCUCAGAUCUCGGCAAAAAAUAAUAAUCUAGGCUAGGGAGUAAUGGUGAUGUUGGAGAGUGAUGCAGGGGUGCGCAGUCGCCGUGUGAGGAUGGGGAGGCGCUGGAAGGGAGGAGCUGGGCGUUGUUGCUAGAGAUUUGGGCGCUGCUGCUUGCUAGAGUUUUUGCUACCGCUUUGCUAGAGAGAACAGAGAGAGAGAGAGCAGAGAUAUGAGAGAUUGGGAGAUGCACUGUUUGCUGAACAUUAAUUCAGAUAUACAAUGCUUCUUUUUAUAUAUAGAUCAGAGAGAUAACUUGUUGAUUGCUAUAGAUCAGUGAGCUAUUGUACUGCUGAUUGCUGCACAUUUAGAUAUAGAUCACAGAGAUUGCUUGCUACUGAUUUCGGUUGCUAUUGCUAGUAAUUUGCUAGUGAUUGCUGCUGCUAUUUGCUUUCAUUUGUAUUUGCUACUGAUUGCUCCAAGUUAUUUGCUACUCGGAGAUAAAUUUACAUAUCAAUUUGCGAUUGCUUGCUGCAAGUUAUUUCCUACUAGGAGAUGACAUUUAAAUAGCUAUUUGUGACUGCUUGCUGCUAGUUAUUUUCUACUGGUUGUUGAACAUCUAUAUGAUGUAUGGUUUGUUUGUUUUGUUUCAUAUUUUCAUAAUGGACGGUCAGAGUUAUUUGAUCUUUUGCAAAGUGAUGUCGGCUUGAAUGAUUUGCACUGGACUGAAGAAGAACAAAUCGACCUCGAAAAGAAUGAAGAAAAACAAAUUGAUCUUGAAGGGCCUAAAUAAACUAGUCGUUGGUAGUUAUGAAAUAUUCUUAAAAUAUAGAAUAAGGGAGAUGUUUAGGGGAACUAGUGGAGUUGAGCAAUCUUUAGGGGAGAAUCUUUGUAAGUUAGUCCCCUGUUUUGAGAUAUAGGGGAGAAAUUUUUGGGAAACUGUUGGACUUCCCCUAAGAAAACACGGUGGUUUCUUACCACCACGCCACCACCCAAGUAACGAUACGAAACUCCACUCGCUACUUUUAUACGAAACAGUCGCUUCCUGGGCUUGGGCCUAAAUCAUGAGAGAUCUCCCCUUCGCUCCUUCUUUUUCCCCUUUAGCAUUAUGGUCCAUCGAGUGGCACUAUAACAAAUGUGAUAAUCUAUGAUGCACAUUCUGUGACGAUUCAAUGUAAAAACGUGAGGGAAUCAUCUAAAUUUCAAAAAAUAUGACGUUUUUUCACAGAAUCGUCACAAAAUGAGCGUCUUAGAUUAUCGCAUUUGUUGUAGUGUGGGCCAACGGCCCAUGGCCUAUUAGAAGAUCUUUUCUCGUGGGAAAUGUGUGUUUUUUUGUUUUUUUUCUUCUUUACAAUAUUUCGUGAUUUCAGAAAAUCUCCACACAUUUAAAAAAUUUAUUUUGGAAAAAUGCUCGUGAAAUCAUGAAAUGUUCGUCCAUUAAAUAUGUUCAUGAUUUUUGAAAAAUUUGCGUAUUGAAAUAAUGUUCACGGAUUUGACAAACAAAUGGGAAUUCAAAAAAUCAUCACAAUUUUUUCAUAAAAUGUUCAUUGACGUGAAGGUUUAGAUUUUUUUUAUUUUCUUAUUUUAUACCGAUUUUAAAACCAGGUCACAUAUAAUGAUAGAAUACAAAGGCUUUCCAUAUUUUUUGACACAAUGCAAAUGUUCCUUUUUUACAUGGAACCAUUUGGAAAUUUGUACAUGAAAUGUGGUCUAAUAAUUUCGAAAAUGUUCCGGUAUAGUUUUACAACAAAUAUUUGGUAGUUUCUUCACAAAAAGAACUCAUUUUGUGCACUUAAAAAAUCAAAAUUCCCUUUGGCAACAUUGUUUGCCAUUGCAAGAUGCACCCUUGAAACACAUAAAACUUCACACAACAUAGUUCAUUUCUGAGAAGACUUUUAAAAGGUAUUUAUCGUAGUCCAAAUUUUUUAUUUCUCCUCAAAACAAGAUCACAUAUGAUGACACAAUGCGAAGGUUUCCAAUUAUUUUAACUCUUUUUUCUAAUUUCUUAUGUCCGUUUUAAAAUGCGGUCAAAACGACGGGCAUGAUCGUUCGUAGCUAGGGGUUGAAUCUUGGAAAAACUUUUGGUGUCUUUGAUAAAACCUAUAGUUAUGUACCUAUAGUUCAAAGUUGACCCACUUCUUGCAGAAUCGACCGAAAUUUGUAGUUCAAACUUGACCCGCUUCUUGCUGAAUCUAUCGAAAUUUGUCUUUUUCAUGAGAAGUGACUAAAAAAACUCACUUUAGUCACUCGAAUAAUGCAAAAUGAAUUUACCGUCCAAAGAAAAUGAAAACUUUCUUAGGCAACAUUGUUUGCCAUUCCAAAAUGCACGAUAUUAGAUCAUUUGAAUAAACUAUACAUGAAUGUGGCCAUAAGAUUGAUCAUUUGACUUCAAAGCCAUGAAUCUUCAUACAUGAUAACUCAUUUUUUAGAACACAUUUAAAAAAUAUUUACCUUAUUAUAAUUUUAUUAUUUUUCCUAAUAACUUGGUCACGUAUAAUUAGACAAUGCGAAGGUUUUUCAAUUUUUUGAUUUGUUUUUGAAUUUUUCAAGCCCAUUUCAAAAUGUAGUCAAAACGUCGGGCACGAUCGUUCCUAUCUAGUGGUUGAAUCUUGAAAAACUUCUAAUGUUUCUAUGGUUAAAUAGAUACUUGUUUACCUAGAAAUGAUUUUUGGAAAAAAUAAAGAACAAACUAUGACUCAGCCGCCGUUCAAACUUGACCCGCUUUUUACUAAAUUGGCCGAAAUUUAUCCUUUUCACAAGAUGUGGCUUAAAACUUUUGACACUCAACCAUUUGGUCAAUUGUACAUUAAAAAUGUCCUAAUAUUUUAAAAAAUUGAUUUGGUCCAAAAUUGCCACAAUUAUAUGCUAGACCCUUCAUAAAAAACUCAUUUUAGUCACUUGAAAAAUGGAAAAUAAACUGUUCGUUCAAAAAAAAUAGAAAACUUCGUUACACAACAUUGUUUGCCAUUACAAAAUGCACCAUUUUGCACAAUAUUAGAUCAUUUGAACAAGUUAUGCCAUGAAUGUGGCCGUAAGAUUGAUCAUUUGGUUUGAAAGCCUUGAAUCUUCACAAAUGGUAACUCAUUUCCGAGAAUACUUUUUUUAAAAUAAUUUUCGUAUUAUAAUUUUAUUGUUUUUCCUCGUAACUUGGUCACAUUUAAUGACACAAUGGGAAGGUUUUCCAAUUUUUUUAUUUUUUUUAAAUUUUCAUGCCCGUUUCAAAAUGCAGUCAAAACAACGGGCAUGACCGUUCCUAUCUAGUGGUUGAAUCUUGGAAAAGUUUUGAUGUUUCUCUCAUUAAAUAUAUACUUAUGUAUCUAGAAAUGAUUUUUGAAAAAAAUAAAGAGCAAACUACGAGGCAACUGCAGUUCGAAUUUGUCGCGCUUCCAACUAAAUCAGCGGAAAUUUGUCUUUUUCACGAGAGUUGAUCAAAAGUUUUGACACUCAACCAUUUGGUCAAUUGUACAUUAAAUAUGGCCUAAGAUUUUAUUAAAUUGAUUUAGUCCAAAUUUGCAACAAAUAUUUGUUAGGUUCUCCAGAAAAGAACUUCAUUUUGGGCACUUGAAAAAUGGACGAGAGGUGGACGAAAAACUUUUAAGAAGGAAGUAUUUGGUCAAUUUGUACAUAAAACACGGUCGAAUAUUUUUUAAAAUUGUUGCGGUCCAAUUUUUUAACUAAUAUUUGAUAGGUUAUUCACAUAGGUGAAAACAAAAAAGAGAAAGACAAAGAAAGAAAACACAUUUACAUAAGCUUAAUUCUCGUUGGUGGAGAUGUUUGUGCCAUGGAUUGAUGACAUGGCACACAUCCAUCCAUAUAUCCAUCCACCCGCAGCCCAAACCCUAACUCCAAUACUCCCAUCGGUCCCCUCCCCCUCUCCCCCGAUUCAGAUCCAGUCCUCGCUGCCGCCACCUACCUCAAGCCGAUCCUGUCGUCCAUGCCCGCGCGCCAUCACCCGCUCCGCGACCACCACCCGCUCCUCCUUGCCUCCCGGAGGACGCAGACCCCACGUCGCUCUUCCUCCGCCCGCCAACCCACCCCGUCCUGGAGGCCUCACUAGCUUCCUUCCGUCGCAGGGUCACCGCGCUCAUCGCGCCCUCGGUACGCACCUCCACCGCCAUCUUUGCUGGCUCCUCGCCUCCGCCUCCGCCCCCGCUAAUUCCCCGCCCAGCGGCUACCCGGUGGCGCUCCACCUCCUUCGUGCGCCACUCGAUGAGCUCGAGGCCCUGUGGCUAUGCCAUGUUUGGGACAGGUGCCCGUUCCAGUACGUGGUCGGGAACGAGCACUGGAAGGACCUGGUGGUCGCCAUUCGGGACAGUGUACUCAUCGCACGGCCGAAGGCGGAGGCCGUCGUGGACAUGGUCACCACCAUCGAUUGCGAGCUGGAGUCCUGGGCCUUCCCCUCAUCAUCCUCGGCGGCGACAUGUGGAUGAGCCACCGGACGAUAAGCAGCAGAUCAUGUUUGCGCUGACCUCCAUCAAGGGUGUGGGCCGCCACUUCUCCAACAUCAUCUGCAAGAAUGCCGAGAUCGACAUGAACAAGAGGUGAGGAACCGUCCCCCUUUCUCGCCAGAUCUCGUCGUGGUGGGUGGGGGAUGAGUCGUGCACUGUCUUCUGUGUGGUGUGCGGGGCUGAAAAGCUUUCCGCUAAGGAGAUGGUUGUAUGAUGGCGGUGGUGCACAAUUCACGUCAGUUCAAGGUGUUGGACUGGUUCCUGAACAGGAAGAAGGACUAAAAGAAUGGGAGUUUCUCCCAGUUCAUCUCCAAAGCCACCGAAUUGAAGCUCAGGGAUGACCUUGAGAGGCUCAAGAAGAUAACGUAUAAACUCGUCCCCCCUUGUUUGUUUUUGCUUCAUACUGUUGGCUGAUUGAUCGGUGAUUAGGUGCUAGGUUCAACUUGUUAUGAUCCUGUUAACUAACAUCUUGCACAUGCUUUAGUGGUAGAAGUAGUUGAUAUCUCAUCCAAUACUUUACAACCUAGUCUUGGGAUUCACAUAGUGGGUUUCUGGAAGGAGAUCUCCAAACAUUAGAAUGCCUGAAAUGCGUUUAUUCUGUUGUUCUUGAUGGGCGUAGUGUUGUUCUGGUAGGAUGUACUAACUUCAUGUGCUUUAUUCUAUACUCGUUUAUACACACAACAAUGUGGCUAGAGUUUGAUUUUCAGUCGGUAUAGUCUGCUUAUGUGAUACGUCUCCAACGUAUGCAUAAUUUUUGAUGGUUCCAUGCUAUUAUCUUGUCAUCUUUGGAUGUUUUGUAUGCAUGAAUAUGCUAUUUUAUAUCUUUUUUGGGACUAACCUAUUAACUUAGUGCCAAGUGCCAGUUCUUGUGUUUUCUGUGUUUUGACCUUUUUGAGAGGAGAAUAUUGAACGGAGUCCAAAUGGAAUAAAACCUGCGGAAUGAUUUUUUCCAUAAUAGAAGACAUGCAGGAGACUUGAGAACAAAGGAAUGGGAGCUCGGAGGAUGUCACAAGCCACCCAGGCCCGACCUAGGGGGGGCCUAGCAGGCUUGUGGGCCCCCUGUGGCUCCCCUGCCCUAGUUCUUCCGCCUAUAGAUUCCUUAAAAAUCUGAAACCACGGAAGAGAGCCACGAAAAUACUUUUCCGCCGCCGCAAUCUUCUGUCUUCGCAAGAUCCCAUCCGGGGCACGUUCUGGUGCCCUGUAGGAGGGGGGAUUCGAACACGGAGGGCUUCUUCAUCAACACCAUUGCCUCUCCGAUGAUGCGUGAGUAGUUCACCACAGACCUUUGGGUCCAUAGCUAGUAGCUAGAUGGCUUCUUCUCUCUCUUGGAUCUUCAAUACAAAGUUCUCCAUGAUCUUCAUGGAGAUCUAUCCGAUGUAAUCUUAUUUUGCGGUGUGUUUGUCGAGAUCCGAUGAAUUGUGGAUUUAUGAUCAGAUUAUCUAUGAAUGUUAUUUGAGUCUCCUCUGAUCUCUUAUAUGCAUGAUUUUGUAUCCUUGUAAUUCUCUUCGAGUUGUGGGUUUAGUUUGGCCAACUUGAUCUAUAGUUCCUGCAAUGGGAGAACUGCUUGGUUUUGGGUUCAUACCGUGCGGUGAUCUCACCCAGUGACAGAAGGGGUAGCGAGGCACAUAUCGUGUUGUUGCCAUCAAGGGUAAAAUAUGGGGUUUAUAUCUAUUGCAUGAAUUUAUCCCUCUACAUCAUGUCAUCUUGCUUAAGGCGUUACUCCGUUUGUCAUGAACUUAAUACACUAGAUGCAUGCUGGAUAGUGGUUGAUGUGUGGAGUAAUAAUAGUAGAUGCAGAAAGUAUCGGUCUACUUGUCUCGGACAUGAUGCCUAUAUGUAUGAUCAUUGCCUUAGAUAUCAUCAUGACUUUGCGCGGUUCUAUCAAUUGCUCGAUAGUAAUUCGUUCACCCACCGUAAUACUUGCUAUCAUGAGAGAAGCCUCUAGUGAACACUAUGGCCCCCGGGUCUACUUCACAUCAUAUUUUCAGCUUUACACUUUUAGUUUGUUGCACUUUCCACCUUCAGAUCUCACCUUCUAGUUAACCGUGAAGGGAUUGACAACCCCUUUGUAGCGUUGGGUGCAAGUUUGCUUGUUUUUGCGCAGGUACUUUGGAGACUUGCCUUGAUAGUCCUACUGGAUUGAUACCUUGGUUCUCAAACUGAGGGAAAUACUUACUGCUACUGCGCUGCAUAACCCUUUACUCUUCAAGGGAAAAACCAACGCAAGAUCAAGAGGUAGCAUUAUGUUACUCUUUGGUUGGAGGCAAUUAGAAUGUUGUAGGUUUAGUAUGAACGUGUCUUAAUCCAUUGGAUGCCCUUGGCUAGUUUAGUUGGUAUCUAAUCUAAAAUAAUUUAUUUUCCCAUUUUUUGUUUCCUUGCUAGACAUGUCAUGGUACAAGUGCCGGUGCCGAUGUUUACUACCCCCGCCGUAAAGAAAUAUAAGAGCGUUUAGAUCACUACUUUAGUGAUCUAAAUUCUCUUAUAUUUCUUUACACAGGGAGUACAUGGUAUUAUUGUUAGCUAUAUAUAUACCUCAUACGUCUCCAUCGUAUCUUCUUUUCCAAACUCUUUUGCCCUUGUUUUGGACUCUAAUUAGCAUGAUUUGAGUGGAUCUAACCCGGACUAACGAUGUUUUCACCACAACUGCCAUGGUGUUGUUUUUGUGUAAAAAUAAAAGUUCUCGCAAUGACCGGGAAACUUAUGAGGAUUUUUUGUGGAAUAUAUAAAAAAUAUUGGCGGAAGAAUUACCUGAAGACAUGGAGCCAGGGGCCCACAAGCCCAGGAGGUGCACCCCCCUAGGGCGGGCCUGGCAGGCUUGUGGGGCCCACGUAGCUCCGCAGCCUCCAACUCCAACUCUAUAAAGUCUCUCUUGCCUAGGAAAAAUUAAGAGAGAAGAGUUCAUCGCGUUUCACGACACGGGGCCGCCGCCACCACCUGUUCUUCCUCGGGAGGGCAGAUCUGGAGUCCGAUCUGGGCUCCGGAGAGGGGAAAUCGACGUCGUCGUCAUCGCCAACCAUCCUUCAUCGCCAAUUCCAUGACGCUCUUCACCGUUCGUGAGUAAUCUCAUCAUAGGCUUGCUGGAUGGUGAUGGGUUGGAUGAGAUCUAUCAUGUAAUCGAGUUAGUUUUGAUGGGGUUUGAUCCCUAGUAUCCACUAUGUUCUAAGAUUGAUGUUGCUACUACUUUGCUAUGCUUAAUGCUUGUCACUAGGGCCCGAGUGCCAUGAUUUCAGAUCUGAACCUAUUAUGUUUUCAUCAAUAUAUGUGUGUUCUUGAUCCUAUAUUGCAAGUUGUAGUCACCUACUAUGUGUUAUGACCCGACAACCCCGGAGCGACAAUAGCCGGAACCACUUCCGGAGAUGGCCAUAGUAUGAGGAGUUCAUGUAUUCACUAUGUGCUAAUGCUUUGUUCCGGUUCUCUAUUAAAAGGAGACCUUAAUAUCCCUUAGUUUCCGUUAGUACACCGCUGCCACGGGAGGGAUGGACAAAAGAUGUCAUGCAAGUUCUUUUCCAUAAGCACGUAUGACUAAAUACAGAAUACAUGCCUACAUUACAUUGAUGAACUGGAGCUAGUUACAUAUCACCCUAUGUUAUAACUAUUACAUGAUGAAUGUCAUCCGACAUAAUUAUCCAUCACCGAUCCAAUACCUACGAGCUUUUCCUAUACCGGUCCAUGCUAAAUUACUUUACCGCUACUGCUGUCACUACGGCUGCUGUUACUGCUGCUACCGUUACUAUCACACUACUUUUCUACUAAAACUUUGCUGCAGAUACUAAGUCUUGCAGGUCUGGUUGAAUUGACAACUCAACUGCUAAUACUCAAGAAUAUUCUUUGGCUUCCCUUGUGUCUAAUCAAUAAAUUUGGGUUGAAUACUGUACCCUCGAAAAUUGUUGCGAUCCCCUAUACUUGUGGGUUAUCAAGACCUUUUUGUGGCACCGUCGCCGGGGAGCAUAGCUCUAUUCUCUGAGUCACUUGGGAUUUACGUCUGUUGAUCACUAUGAGGAAUCCGAGAGAUCCAAAAACUAAAGUCUUGCCCUCAACUACGAGGACAGGUAAGGAACUGCCAUCUAGCUCUGCACUUGAUUCACCUUCAGUUAUGAGUAAAUUUGCGACACCACCAACUAUUGGUAAUUCUGAUAUGUCGCAUGUGCUUGAUGAUGCUGCUUCUGCUAUCCAUGAUUCUUAUGAUGAUGCUUUGCUUGAUAAUGAGAUGACACUAGGUGCAUUUCUUGAUGCACAAAUUGCUAGAGUUACUGAUGAAUGUGAUGAUACUUCUGAAACUGAUGAAAUUAUUGAAGUGGAACCUGCUGUUACACCUGUUAGACCUAGCUCUCCCAGAUAUGAAUUGCCUGAUAUACCUAAGGGUUAUGUUAUGGAGGGAGAGGUAGCUGAAGGCUUUCUUGCUUGUAAGGAUAGCUAUGAUCUUGAGAAUUUAUUACGUAAGUGGAAAGAAAAAUCUCUGAAUGCUUGAAUGAAAUAUGAUCCUAAGUUUGCUACUUCGCCCAUCUUUGUUACUGAUAAGGAUUAUGAAUUCUCUGUUAAUCACUUUGGUUGAAUCUGAUCCUUUUCAUGGUUAUGAGUCUGAAACGGUUGUAGCACAUCUUAGCAAACUGAAUGAUAUAGCCACCCUAUUCACGAAUGAGGAAAAAAAGUUCUCCAUUACUAUAUCCUUAAGUUGUUUCCUUUCUCACUAAAGGGUGAUGCUAAAACUUGGUUUACUUCUCUUUCUCCUGGUUGUGUGCGUAGUCCCCAGGAUAUGAUAUACUACUUCUCUGAGAAAUAUUUUCCUGCCCAUAAGAAACAAGCUGCCUUAAAGGAUAUAUAUAACUUUGUGCAAGUUGAAGAAGAGAGUCUCCCACAAGCUUGGGGGGGGGGGCUUGUCCAGUUACUGAAUGCUUUGCCUGAUCACCCUCUUGAGAAAAAUGAAAUACUUGAUAUCUUUUAUAAUGGACUAACCGAUGCUUCUAGGGAUCACCUAGAUAGUUGUGUUGGUUGUGUUUUCAGGGAAAGAACUAUGGAACAAGCUGAAAUUCUAUUGAAUAAUAGCUUGAGCAAUGAUAAUGCUUGGACUAUUCCCGAACCACCUCCGAAGCCAAGAGGUAUUCUAUUCCUCAGUCCUGAAGAUAUGCAAGAAGCCAAGAAAUCUAUGCAAGAGAAAGGUAUUAAAUCUGAAGAUGUUAAGAAACUACCACCUAUUGAAGAAAUACAUGGUCUUGAUAACCCGACACAGGUAGUAGAGGUAAAUUCUCUUCGUAGAUUCAAUGAGAGUGAUAUUCCAUAUGAUAAACCUGCUAGCUUAUGCUUAGAUGAAUUUGAUAACUUUGUUGUCAAACAACAAAGUUUUAAUGAUUAUGUUAGCAGACAAUUGAAACAAAAUGCUCGUAUGAUUAAUCAUAUAAGUGCUUGUGUGGAUAGAAAUGUCAAUGAUCUUAAGCUUUUGGGAAAACAUGCUUCUAUGGUCACUACUCAAGUAGAACAAGUACUUAAGGCUCAAAAUGACUUGCUUAAUGAGUUGAAUGACAAUUCUGUUAGAGUUGUCACUAGAGGUUGUAGAAUGACUCAGGAACCUUUGUAGCCUGAGGGCCAUCCUAAGAGAAUUGAACAAGAUUCUCAAGGAGUUAACACUCAUGCACCUAGUCAUCCUGGUAACAGGAAGAAAAUAAAGAUGAUAGGAACUUGCAUGCUAGCAAACCUGUUGCCGUUACACCCGAGAAUCCAAAUGAUGUCUCUAUUUGUGAUGCCGAAACACAAUCUGGUGAUGAACAUGAGCCUAGUGAUAAUAUUGAUAAUGGUGUUCAUGUUGAUACUCAACCUAGUAAUGAUAAGGAUGUGGAGAUUGAACCUGUUGUUGAUCUUGAUAACCCACAACCUAAGAACAAGCUAUAUGAUAAGAACGACUUUAUUGCUAGGAAGCAUGGUAAAGAAAGAGAACCAUGGGUUCAGAAACCCAUGCCCUUUCCUCCCAAACCAUCCAAGAAAAAGGAUGAUGAGGAUUUUGAGUGCUUUUUUGAAAUGAUUAGACCUGUCUUUUUGCAAAUGUGUUUGGCUGAUAUGCUUAAAAUGUCUCCUUAUGCUAAGUACAUGAAAGAUAUCGUGACUAAUAAAAGGAAGAUACCUGAGGUUGAGAUUUCCACCAUGCUUGCUAAUUACACCUUCAAGGGUGGGACUCCUAAGAAACUAGGUGAUCCCGGAGUGCCCACUAUACCUUGCUCCAAUAAAGGAAAUUAUGUUAGAACUGCUUUAUGCGACCUUGGAGCCGGUGUUAGUGUUAUGCCUCUCUCUUUAUAUCGCAGACUUGAAUUGGAUAAGUUGACACCUACUGAAAUGUCUUUGCAAAUGGACGACAAAUCAACUGGUUUUCCUAUCGGCAUUUGCGAGGAUGUGCUUGUUGUGGUUGCGAACGUUACUAUCUUAACGGACUGUGUUAUUCUGGAUAUUCCCGAGGAUGAUGCCAUGUCGGUCAUCCUUGGAAGAUCCUUUCUAAACACUGCAGGGGCUGUUAUUAAUUGCAACAAAGGCAAUGUCACUUUCCAUGUUAAUGGUAAUGAGCACAUGGUGCACUUUCCGAAGAAACAAUAUCGAGUUCAUUUCAUCAAUGCUAUUGAAAAAUCUUCAUCCAUUAUUAUUGGAGGCUUUGAUUGCCCUAUACCUACUAUCAAGAUGAAAUAUGAUUUACUUGUUGGGGAUAUGCACAUCCCCGUUGAGGUAACCUAGUGAUUAUUCGAAAAUUCUCCGUUUUUAUGUGUUUCGAAAAAAGUUUGUCAAGGAGACUUGAUCAACCUCAUUGACGGAUUUCUGUUGAUGACCAUGAGAUGGAUGAAUCUAGGAGUCACAACCUUCUGUUCCCAACUUUUACUUUCUGUUGUUUAGAAGAAAAAUAAUAAUUUUAGCUUUAUUUUCCUAUUUUCCGCGUUUUCCGUUCAAUAGAAAAGUGACCCGAAAAUAAAAGUUCUCCAAAUGCCCUGAAAUUCAAGUAUGAUUUUUUCUGGAAUAUUUGAAAAUUUCUGAGAUAGAUAACUAGUCACGGGGAUGCACCAGUGGGCCACAAGCCCAGGAGGCGCGCCCACCCCCCUGGGCGCGCCUGGCAGGCUUGUGGGUCCCACAUGACCCCCCUCCACUUAUUCCAGCUCCCAUCUCCUUCGUCUACCUCCAGAAAAAUUAUUCCACUGCUCAAACCCGUGUUCUUGCUCUUUGUGCUGCAUUUUUCAAUCUCCUUGUGCAAAGCUCCAUACACCAAACUGUUUUGGGGAAUUUUUCCUUGGUAUGUGACUCCUCCAUCGAUCCAAUUAGUUUUUGUUCUAGUGCUUUAUUCGUUGCAUAUUUUUGCUGCCUUGGUGACCCCGUUCUUGAGCUUUGCAUGUUAAUUUUAGUUGGUCCCAAGUAGUUUUGAUGCAUGAUAUGGCCUCUAGGAACUUGUAGGAGUAGUUGCUAUGAGUUUUGUUGAGCCUUGUUCACUUUUCUUUUGAGUCACUAAAAAUUUCAAAAAAAGAAGAUGUUCACGAAAAACUAUCAUGGUGGUUCCUCAAGCAAAAGGGGUCCCCGUCUCACGAUUCGGGAGCCCGAUCCUUAUCAGCCGAGGAACGCACAGGUGCAACCAUGUGAAUGGCCUUCCGAUGACUUUAUGAUUGAUGCAGGUUUCAAGGACGAGUUUGAUACUUUUGUUCACAACGCCGGGCUCAAAGAAUUCAUCUCCAAUAAAUGUGAACAGUAUACUACACUCACCGCCUCUUUUGUUCGUAGAUUCAAAUUUUCAGUUGGCCGUGACACAUCCAUACUGUUUGAUCUUUAUGAAAAAUCGUAUACCAUGGAUUUAGAGGAUUUUAAUAGAAUUUGCAAGAUACUUGAUUGGGGUAGUCCCAAUGACCCUCCUAAAUAUUUGGUUAGAGAUUUUAUUUCUAGUAUAAUUGUUGGAGAAACUAGAGAUAUUACGCAGGCUACCAUGGGGAGCAUUCAUUUUCCUGCCUUACAUUAUUUUGCCCUCUUCAUAGGUAUAUGCAUUAACGGCAAGCAUGAGCAUAGUCACCUCUGCGCACCUAACCUUAGUAUUCUUAAGAGCGCAGUAACGAGUGAUAGAAGUUUCAACAUGGGAGCUAUAAUUGCGAGGAGGCUAAAUAGUAAUGCUAAUGAAGGGGAUUUCUUUGGUGGGAUCUAUGCCACUCGCAUAGGAAAUUUUCUUCGAAUACCCAUCCGCACAGGAGAUCCCCCGGUCCAUACAGCUUUCCUUGAUCACGCCGCUAUGAGACAUUAUCAGUUCCUUGAGAGGGAUAAUGAAUCCCUCCUAUACCGGUUAAUAUUUAACUGACAACGCGUUUUCCAUAUUACCCUUCCUGCUCCUGCCUUCUUUGACUUUCAGGGAAAACAGAGAUAUUACAUAACCAGAGGAGAGGCAGAGGAGUAUGAGAGGGAGGUGAAGGUUGCUCGCCUCCGUGAGGCAGCUAUUCAGGCGGUAGCUGCCACGUUCCCGUACAACCCCCAUUAUGAUUUUGGAUAUCGCCCGGACCAGCCGUGGGAGUAGACCAACUUAGGCCAAAAUCCUAAGCUUGGGGAGUACGUGUCUCUCACCGACUUUAUAUUCAUGCUCACACAUUCACUUUGAUAGUCGGUGUUCACACUUUGCCAUUGUAUCAUCCAUGCUAGUUUAUUUCUUUUUCUCGCUUUCUUCUUGUGUGUAAGAAAAAUUAGUUGUAAGUUUACUUUCCAGCUUGCUUAGUGGUAAUUAAAAAGAAAACCCAAAAAGAUUUCCCGUUCUUCUUUUUCUUGUUGGGAGCUUUUCCGUGUAAAUAGUUUUCUUUUUCUUUGGGUCAAGGUAGAAUAUCAUGAUUAAAAUGUUUAGUGGCUCUCAUAUGCAUAAUUGUUUAUCCGUCAGAGAGCCCGUAUUACUUUGUCUUCUCCUCUAAGUUUGCUUGCAGAUUCCAGCUUAGUCCAAUGCAGGAACACUCUCAUUAUUAUUCACUUCAUUCGGUCGUGCAAGUGAAAGGCAAUAAUGACGAUAUAUGAUGAAGUGACUGAGCCUGGAAAAGCUGGUAUGAACUCGACCUAUUUUGUUUUUGUAAAUAUGACUAGCUCAUCGUUCCUAAUUCAGCAUUGUUAUGAGAGAAACAUGUUUGCAAUGACAACUUAGAGAUCAUAGCUUCUGAUGCCAUGCUUAAUUAUCUAGGAGCUUAUAAUGGUUUGUCUUGGAUGCCAACAUGAAUUUCAAAAUGAUUAUGAUGCAGUAUGAUAAAAUGGUAUCCUCCUUUGAAUGAUUCAAGUGGCUUGACUUGGCAAAUGUUCACGCAUGUAGUUGAAACAAAAUCAACAUAGCCUCUAUGAUAUUCAUGUUUAUGGUGAUUUAUAUCCUACUCAUGCUUGCACUCAACAUUGGUUAAUUUCAAUGCAUAUUAAUGACUGUUGUCCCUCUCUAGUUGGUCGCUUCCCAGUCUUUUGCUAGCCUUCACUUGUACUAAGUACGAAUACUGCUUGUGCAUCCACUUCCAUAAACCCAAAGUUGUUCCAUAUGCGUCCACCAUACCUACCUAUAUGCGGUAUCUACCUGCCGUUCCAAGUAAAUUUGCAUGUGCCAGUCUCUAAACCUUCAAAUAAUAAUCUGUUUUGUAUGCCCGAACCGCUCAUGUGGUGACAAGGGGCGGUCAGUAUCUUCCAUGCUAGGCGUGUUAUCCUUGAUACGUGUUUAUUCACUAUCACUCACGAGAAAGGGGACGGUAAUCGGAAUGCCCAGUUCCAUGCUCAAGUCGAAAAUAUAAUUGCAAACAAAACUCCCCUGGAUUGUUGUUGGUAUGGACGGCAACCGAGGAUUCGGCUAGUCGUGGAGUGUGAUUGAUCGGUGGUGGGGGAGUCAAAACUUUACUUUUCUGUUUGGGAACCGCCUAUAAUAUGUGUAGCAUGGAAGAUGGUGAAAACUCUUGGUCAUCGCGUUGACAACGAAAGCAUGCCACCCAAAAUUAUUUAUCUCUGUUUUAAAAAGCUUGAGCUCUCGCAGCUCUGCAAAUCAAUGCUUCCCUCUGCGAAGGGCCUAUCUAUUUACGUUUCUGUUGAGUCAUCCUCUUCUUAUUAAAAAGCACCAUUAGAGAGCACCUCCGUCAUUUUUAUGCUUUGCUAUUAAUUGAUAUUGAGUAUGACUGCGACUGGAUCUUCUUUGCAAUGAAUUACAAUGUUCAGUCAGCCCUUGGUCUUUGAAGGUGCUCUGCAUUUAUGUUUUGCAGUCUCAGAAAGGGCUAGCGAGACACCAUCUGUUCAUAUUGUAUUAUGAUUGUUUUGAAUGAAGUGUUGAUGUUUGAAACUUAUUAUUAUUGCUCGCUAGUUGAUUAUGCCAUUGAUAUGAGUACAUCAUGAGACCUAAAUGUUAUUGCUUAUGUGGUUAGCUUAUGAUGUUGCUGAAAAUCCGAAUAUGAGUUAGACAUAAUUACUACAACAAGGUCAAACAGAGUUCGUAAAAGUUGUUCUUUUGUCUCUUUCAGUUUGUCAACUGAAUUGCUUGAGGACAAACAAGGCUUUAAGCUUGGGGGAGUUGAUACGUCUCCAUCGUAUCUACUUUUCCAAACUCUUUUGCCCUUGUUUUGGACUCUAAUUUGCAUGAUUUGAAUGAAACUAACCCGGACUAACGCUGUUUUCAGCAGAACUGCCUAGGUGUUGUUUUUGUGCAGAAAUAAAAGUUCUCGGAAUGACCUGGAAACUUACAAGGAUUUUUUGUGGAAUAUAUAAAAAAUACUGACGCAAGAAUUACCUGAAGACACGGAGCCAGGGGCCCACAAGCCCAGGAGGCGUGCCCCCCCCCUAGGGCGCGCCUGACAGGCUUGUGGGGCCCACAUAUCUCCGCAGCCUCCAACUCCAAGUCUAUAAAGUCUCUCUUGCCCAGGAAAAAUUAAGAGAGAAGAGUUCAUCGUGUUUCACAACACGGAGCCGCCGCCACCACCUGUUCUUUCUCGGGAGGGAAGAUCUGGAGUCCGUUCUGGGCUCCAAAGAGGGGAAAUCGACGUCGUCGUCAUCACCAAUUCCAUGAUGCUCUUCACCGUUCGUGAGUAAUCUCAUCGUAGGCUUGCUGGACGGUGAUGGGUUGGAUGAGAUCUAUCAUGUAAUCGAGUUAGUUUUGAUGGGGUUUGAUCCCUAGUAUCCACUAUGUUCUAAGAUUGAUGUUGCUACUACUUUGCUAUGCUUAAUGCUUGUCACUAGGGCCCGAGUGCCAUGAUUUCAGAUCUAAACCUAUUAUGUUUUCAUCAAUAUAUGUGUGUUCUUGAUCCUAUCUUGCAAGUUGUAGUCACCUACUAUGUGUUAUGACCCGGCAACCCCGGAGUGACAAUAGCCGGAACCACUCCCGGAGAUGACCAUAGUAUGAGGAGUUCAUGUAUUCACUAUGUGCUAAUGCUUUGUUCCGGUUCUCUAUUAAAAGGAGACCUUAAUAUCCCUUAGUUUCCAUUAGGACCCCGCUGCCACGGGAGGGAUGGACAAAAGAUGUCAUGCAAGUUCUUUUCCAUAAGCACGUAUGACUAAAUACGGAAUACAUGCCUACAUUACAUUGACGAACUGGAGCUAGUUACAUAUCACCCUAUGUUAUAACUGUUACAUGAUGAAUGUCAUCCGAAGUAAUUAUCCAUCACCGAUCCAAUGCCUACGAGCUUUUCCUAUACCGGUCCUUGCUAAGUUACUUUACCGCUACUGCUGUCACUACUGCUACUGUUACUGCUGCUACAGUUACUAUCACACUACUUUGCUACAUAUACUAAGUCUUUCAGGUGUGGUUGAAUUGACAACUCAACUGCUAAUACUCGAGAAUAUUCUUUGGCUCUCCUUGUGUCGAAUCAAUAAAUUUGGGUUGAAUACUGUAUCCUCGAAAACUGUUUCGAUCCCCUAUACUUGUGGGUUAUCAAGAAUACCCGCCCUGAGUCAUGCUCUUGUGGUUAGGAUUCUACUCCUCUAAGUGAUGCUUUUGCAUGCCUUUCCUUCCUCACGCACCUACAAACUAUUCGCUAUUUCCUUCCGCGAUAAUGUGAGCAGUUUUGAAAUUUCUGUAAAGUGGACCCAAUGUGUGAGAUGAUGACAACUGGGACCCAUCUGAUUGGUGGGACAACUCCAAAAUAUAAUGGCCCAAACAAUGUUAAAAGGCCAUGACCUAGAAAUAAAUAAAGGCUGAAUUGUAGGGUUUGGCCUAUGUAGCUAACCCAAAUUGGCAAGAAAAAAAUAUGAAUGGGUUGAAUUGUUAGGCUCGGCUCAUGUAAAGUAGUGAAAUGGACCGAGCUGAUUCUUAUCAACGACCAAUUCUAUUGGUUGCAAUUUUGCCGCGAUUUUGCUACAUCAGCUUGCCACGUUGGAUCCGAUGUGGCCUGGGCAGACAACUAGUGGCCAAAACAAAAGGUCAUAGGACCAACGACCUUUUGUUUUGGUCGUUGCUUUCUACGACCAUAUCACAAAGAAGGUCGUUAAGUUUCAUUAAAGAUGGUUAGUUUUUGACCAACUGUUUUUUAGCAUAAAAAGAUCGCAAAUGAAAAACAAUGUUCAUUCAGCGACCAAUAGUGAUGGUCGCAAGUUGACAUAUUUCUUGUAGUGUGUAGCAGAGAUAUCAGACACACAACCUCUGCAACAUCGAAAUGUCCUAAAGACAUUAAGAAUGCACACAACCCAAAAAGAAAAGGAAAACAAGAUUUUUUUUUGCUACAAGAUGAAUUCCUUGUAACUAGCGAUAUGAUCCACAAGCUAAGACAAGUCGUAGCUGUGAGGAAACAAAGUGGAACAAUAUGUGAAGGUCGCAUGGACUUUUCCGCAAAAAAAAAAAGUCGCAUGGACUAAUCAAGGACAGAACAAUUAAUGGGUGGCCACGCUGCUUGUUAAGUGUAAACUAAUGUCUAUGUUUGUAUACGCCUAGCACCAAAUUAACAACCCCGCACUAGACAGUGACAUGUUAUCUCCAUUAUAUUUGUAUACAUUGCUUGAUUGGUUCCAUACAUGCAUCUUGAGAAAAGAAGAAUGCUUUUGUUAAUAAUAUGGUCGGAGAUAAUGAAUAAUCAAGCUGUGAUAUCCAAUGCAAGUUGGAUAUACUUAAGGGACGGGUCUAGAAUUGUUAGAGUUUAAUUAGUUAAUGUAAUUAGUUAACUUAAUCUUUACUUGUAACUGCACGUGGGCAUCUCCACGACCGAACCAACACUUCGUUCGUGGAGCGACGCCUCCACGAACCGCCUCCUCGUACCGUCGCUUUUUUUGGAAGCGACUGUUCCCCAUGUAUAUAUAUGUUCAUUCAUCAAUGAGAAACAGAGUUUGAUUACAUUUCUUCACACGUUAUCAGCACGUAGCCUACCGACAGAGCACCGGAGACGAAGAGAAAAGGUGAGAUGGCAGGGAUGAACCUGCACAGAAUCACCUCCGCCCUCGUUCGUUUCUUUAGAAGAGAAAUCCAUCGAUCUGCAAGAAGCCAGGGUCUUGGAGUUCAUCGCCAUUGGGGCUCUGGCAACGGCCGCCGUGGCUGCUGUGGUCGUCGUGGGCGUCGUGGUCACCACGACCACCAUGGAUCUGCAGCAGCAGGACCAAGCCACCCACCCAUGGCCGUCCACCAUGCCUACCAGGCACCUCCAAUGUCGGACUUCGUCGCCCCGCCGGCCUUUGUCGCUCCAGUCAUGGAUUGGCAACUGGAAUACACAGGGGGGAUCUUCUGUCCUGUGCAUAGAUACGGGCCAUGCCCUUCAAACCCGGCCAAUCCACCACUGGAAUCAGAGAUCGACGGAGGGGACACUUACCCGGAUCUCCCAACACCGACGCCUGCCGACGAAGAUCCCCUUGCCGCCUCCAGGCUAUGGCCCUGUUCCGGCCAUGGCCAAGUGGGAGGUGAUCCUGACGGAGAUGGCCGAAGCCAGCGCCCCAUCGGAGGCGGCCGAAGCCUGCGGUCCAUCGGAGGCGACCGAAGCCAGCGCUCCAUCGGAGGCGGUCGAAGCCAACGCACCGACGGAGGCGACCGGAUCCGGCGCCACCAUCCCCGCAUCUCCGCCGCCUUCGCCCCAAGCCCGCCCUCGGACGCCACCAGCGGCGGCUCGCCGGAUCCUUUGCCGAUUUGCUGCAGCACUAGAGCAGCACCGCCCCGGCCUCCGCUCCGCUCCUGGGCUCACGCCGGCAUCCACCUCCCUGGCUACGACGCGGCAGCCGUAGCCCCGUCCUCUCCCUGAGCGCUGCCGACGAGGGGCGCCAUCGGCGGCGGAUGUUGCGGGACGUCGUGGAGGUGGCUGUGGAACGGGGGAAUUCAAGGCGAUAUUUGUGGUCCUAUCCAACCAUUAUCUGGACCUUUUAGGUAUUUCAUGGUUCUAAUUGACGCAUCUACACGAUGGUCUCACGUGUGUCUAUUAUCCACACGAAACCAUGCAUUUUCCAAAAUAAUGAGACAAGUAAUUAAAUUACAAGCUCAUUAUCCUGAAAAUCGGAUUAAGUCAAUUCGAAUGGACAACGCUGCUAAAUUUUCCUCACGUGCCUUCAAUGAUUAUUGCAUGGCCCUAGGAAUCGAAGUUCAGCACUCGGUCCCAUAUGUCCAGACACAAAAUGGAUUGGAAGAGUCCCUAAUUAAGAGAAUUAAGCUCAUUGCACGGCCCUUGCUAAUGAAUUGCAACUUACCAACUUCAUGUUGGGGUCACGCAGUUUUACACGCUGCUGACUUAAUUCAAUUGCGACCAACUGCAUAUCACAACACUUCCCCUCUGCAAUUAGUACGUGGAAACCUACCAAAUAUUUUCCAUCUGCGUAAAUUCGGAUGCGCCACAUAUGUGCCCAUCUCACCACCGCAGCGUACAUCCAUGGGCCCACAUUGGAAAUUGGGGAUCUAUGUGGGGUGCAAAUCACCGUCGAUAAUCAAGUACCUUGAACCCCUCACUGGGGAUCUAUUCCCAGCCCGUCACGCUGACUGCAUCUUUAAUGAGGAAUAUUUCCCGGCAUUAGGGGGAGACAUCAAGUACCAAAAGAAUGCCCGGAAAUCUAUUGGAAUGCCCAAGACAUUUCCUCCUCUGAUCCACGUACUCAAGAAACUGAACUUCAAGUUCGGAAAAUAAUUAAUUUGCAACAUAUUGCAAAUAACCUGCCAGAUUCAUUUACUGACUAUAAAGGUGUUACAAAAUCCUACAAUCCUGCCAGAAAUGCGCCCGAAAGAGUGGAGGUACCAACAAAAACCACUCAACCCCCUGUUCAAAGGAAGAGGGGGAGAAAUAGGGGGAGAAAUACGGCCACAGAACAGGAUUCAACUUCUCGCAAACAAAAAAGGAAACAGAGGAAGAAACCCCGUGAACCAGUAAAUGUAAAUCAACCUAGCGUUGAUAAUCAUCAAAUGGGUAAUGAACACCCAGUGGAAGAACGGCCUCCACAACCCAGCUCAGUUGUGCACUCAAUGACUAGGACAUCGGAAAACCCUGACUCAAUCGUAUUGGGAAAUCACGACCAGUCAACAUGGGUAAAUGAAAUUUCCACCAACUAUAUGGAUUCUGGAGAAUGUUACAAUCGUAAGUCUACUAUUGUCGACAUAUAUUUCUCAACUACAGUUGCAGACUACCUUCUAAAUGAUCAUGAUCCAAAGACCAUGGCAGAGUGCAAGAAACGCUCCGACUGGCCUAAAUGGAAGGAUGCAAUCCAGGUAGAGUUAGCCUCGCUCAAUAAACGAAAGGUAUUCACUGAAGCAAUACCUACACCUCCCAGAGUUUUCCCUGUGGGAUUCAAAUGGGUUUUCGUCCGUAAAAGAAACGAGAACAACGAGAUGGUGAGAUAUAAAGCAAGGCUUGUAGCCCAAGGUUUCACGCAGAGACCAGGCAUUGAUUGCAAUGAAACAUACUCUCCAGUAAUGAGUGGUAUUACUUUCCGAUACCUUAUUUCUAUGGCAGUACAAAAUCGUCUACCUAUGCAGUUGAUGGACGUAGUGACCGCCUAUCUUUACGGUUCACUUGAUUCGUACAUAUGCAUGAAGGUUCCUGAUGGAGUUCCAAUCCCGAAUCCAAACGCAACGCAUAUUGUGUAAAACUAAACAAGUCUUUAUACGGCUUAAAACAGUGGGGUCGCAUGUGGUACAACCGACUUAGUGAGUUCUUUUUGAAAAAAGAUACUCCAAUAAUGAUGAUUGCCCAUGUGUUUUCAUAAAAAAGUCCGCAACCGGAUUUUGCAUUAUUUCAGUGUAUGUUGAUCAUCUUAACAUCAUUGGAACCACCGAAGAUAUUGAUGAAGCACGCAAUAUCUUAAAGACGGAAUUUGAAAUGAAGGAUUUGGGUAAAACUAAAUUUUGCUUAGGAUUACAACUUGAGCACCUUCCCUCGUGUAUUUUGGUUCAUCAAACCGCCUAUAUCCAGAAAAUAUUGGAGAAAUUCAAUAUGGACAAAUACUAUCCAUCCAAAAUCCCUAUGGUAGUUCGAUCUCUAGACAUAGAGAAAGAUCAGUUUAGACCAAUGGAUGAUGGAGAAAAGAUAUUAGGACCUGAAGUCCCAUAUCUUAGUGUGGUUGGAGCGCUCAUGUAUCUUACAAACUGCACCAGACCUGACAUUGCAUUUGCAGUAAAUUUAUUAGCUAGACAUAGCGCAGCUCCCACUAAACGCCAUUGGAUCGGAGUUAAGAAUAUCUUUCGAUAUCUCCAAGGUACAAAGGAUCUUGGCCUCUUCUUUCAAUUUCAAAGAAAUUUGGACAUUGAUUUGAUUGGGUAUACAGAUGCUGGCUACUUAUCUGACCCCCAUAAUGCCAGAUCACAAACCGGUUUCGUGUUCCUACAUUGUGGGACAGUCAUAUCAUGGAAAUCUUCCAAGCACACCCUAGUGGCUACAUCCACCAAUCGUUCUGAAAUAAUCGCAUUAUAUGAAGCAUCACGUGAAUGUGUAUGGCUUCGCAGAAUGAUAAACCACAUACAAAAAUCAUGUGGCAAAGGUCUUAUCAAAUCUCCAACCAUUAUCUAGGAAGAUAAUGCUCCUUGUGUUGCUCAAAUGCAAACGGGUUAGAUAAAGAGCAAUAUCACUAAGCAUAUUUCUCCUAAAUUAUUUUUUCCCCAUCAAUUACAGAAGAAAGGGAAAAUAAAUAUUUUGCAAGUUAAAUCGUGCGAUAAUCUCACUGACCUAUUUACAAAAUCACUCCCAGCUUCAACAUUUGAAAAAUAUGUUCAUGGGAUAGGUAUGCGAAGACUUCGGGAUUUGCAAAGAUCAGGGGGAGUUUCUCUCUCUGAAAAAUAACCCGUUCAAACAUUAUAUUGCACUCUUUUCCCUUUAUGAGUGUACUUCCAUAGUUCUCAUCAAGGUUUUUAAUGAGACAAUAUCAACAUAAGACAUAUGUCAUACUGUCCGUUUUUCCCCACCGGGUUUUUUAGGAAAAGUAUAUACGACGUAUUUUUGUCCUCUAAUUUUAUGGAUACAUUUCAUAUAGAAUUGACAGAGGCAAUAAUCAUUAUAUGUUGUAUCAUUUUCUCCUUAUUUUUCCACAAGGUUUGAAGGAGUUUUAGCAGCAUAUACUAUACUACUUCUCAUAUUUUUCUCACGGGGUUUUUGGAGGAGACUAUUUUAAGAUGAUGAACAUACAUUUUAAGAUGAUGAACAUACGAUGAAUACUUGCUGUUUUCCCUGCAAUGAAACUGUAUGUACGACCGUGGAAUUCUAGUCCAGUCAUUUCAAUGUCAUUUACGGUGAAACUGAGGAGCAUAACGUACGGGGACACAUGCUAGCUGCAAACACGCGCACUCCGGCCGCCGCCAGUCAUUUGCAACACUGUGCGUUGUGUCAAGCUACGGAUUUCCGGUGGUGGCUGUCGACCGAGAUCGAACGUUUCUUCCGGCGACCUCUAUCUUUUGCUGUGGUAAUUUCUUUUGUCGUCGCUAGAGGACGUGGAUGAUAUUGUUGCAACGCACGGCAAUUCUUUGGUUUUGUUUAUUUAUUUAUAAAUAAUCUAACUGCUGCGGUCACGAUGGAUUUUCUAGGUAGCAUACCUCUUGUAUCUACUCCACGUCUUCACUUCAACUUUAUGCGUGGCUAGCUAGGGCAGUUGCCGACAGUUUGGACAAAAGAUCAGAUCAGUGGCCGAAUCGGGUAAGGUUGUCGGUUCAAGGUUUCAUCGGUCGGUUCACAGUCUGUUUUUUUUUUUWAUAAAAUAUCUUUUGUAUACUGAUGUAAUAUAUUUACCUUUUUCUUAACACAACACAGUCACAUACACUCAUAGAUACGCAAAUAUACUUACCCCUAUGACUGGGAGCUAUGACAUGUUUUCCUUGGGGUUUGUGAUCUCGAACGGACCACUAUUUGUACACGUCGACUUGGUUCGACAUCUCCGGUUUUACCUCCCAAUUCUUUAUCUUUAUCUUUAUCUUUACCUACUAAUAAAGCAAUUAGUGCUUCUGUUGUCCGUCUUUAACAUUGCCCAUAAAGUUGAUGAAAAUUAUCCACAAUUGCCACUUAUAAGUCAUUGAAAACAUUUCAAACAAGAAAAUCUUUGGACUGGGCCGGCCCAUGUAGGCACCUCCUAUAUUACGCUCUGGGCAUUGCAAAAAGAUGCAGCACACCUAUUUGGGCCGGUCCAUGCGUGGCCGCCUGUUAUUUUAGUUUUUUUUACUUUUCAGUUCUAUUUUUUUCUACUUUAAAUAAUUUAGAAGUUCAAAUAACUUUUUCUUAAAUUUAAGAAACUGAGAAUUUUGAAAUAAAAUAUUAAAAAACAUAUUUUUUUGAGAAUUCAAAAACUACUCAGGAGUUUUGAAAAAUGUUUGCAUAUACAAAGAAAUGUUUAAAUUUUUAAAAAAUGUCUGUAAAAUGAAAAAAGUCAAUAAUUUCAAACAAAAGUCCGUGUAAAAAUCUUAAAAACAGUUUGUGCCUCUGUUUUUAGUCUCAUUUUUAAUUUUCAUUUUCUGUUCCAUUUUUUAAAUUUAAAUAAUAUCGACUUUUGAAAUUUUUUUGCAACUUAUAAAACUUAGAAUUUUGAAAUAUAAUUUUGAAGAAAAUAUAAAAUGUUUGUGAAUUCAAAAAAUGCUCGGGAUAUUUGUAAAAGUAUUCCCAUAUUCAGAAAAAUGUUCAUAAUUUUGAGAACAAUGUUGGUGAAAACAAUAAAAGUCCAUGAUUUUGAGAAAAACGUUUGUGUAUUAUUUUUUGAGUGCAAUUGAAAAAAAUAUUUGCUAAUUCAAAAAAUGUUCAUGCAUUUCAAGAAAUGUCCUAAAAUUUUAAGGACGUAAUAUGAUCAACAUCCUUGAAGAUUAUAAUUAUUUUUCUUCCGUUGCAUCGCACGGGACCUUUUGCUAGUUGCAUAAAAAGUUCAAAACCUUUCGAUUCAACCGGUCCACUUUGGUUUAACAGGUGGAACGUCCAGAGAGUUUAAGAAACCGGCAUUGUCCCUGGUUCCAGCUUUCAGUUUCACCAGCGGUCCCGUCCCGUGCUGAUAAAUAUGCUGGCCGAUUAAUUUCGAUAUAUGCCUCUUUUAUUCUUUUAUCUAUCAGCAUAUCAACAUUUGUGUGCAUGUUGAGUCGUUGACUUGCCACCUCGAUCCAUCUUAUAUUCAUUUAUUUGUUCGAGUUGUGCAUUCUAUCUUUGCAGGUGCAAGAGAUAAUAAUUCAGUAUAACCUAGACACUUUCCUCCAUCUAUGGAUUCUCUACUUGAACAUUACCAUCAUAUACCAUCCAGAUGAUACUAGCUGGAUUACUGGGUUGGAUUACAUCUUCGAGUUGGCACCUCUCUUAGAAGAUUUGGAACUACAUGUAAGUUCUUCACUCGCCGAUCAUGGUACUUGCAUCUGUUUGUAUACAAAUAUGUAUUUGGUAUUAAUGAAUGGUUGGAUAUACUUGUGCAAAUAAAUUGUGGUAGAUUUGGCCUUCCUACAAGGAGUGACAACUCUUCCAAGGCCUCGGCGUCAUCAUCUCAGUAGCGCCCGCAUUAUUGAUUUUGUGAUCUGGUGGGGAUAGUCGAGCUUGAUGUCCUCCAGAUCCAGGCACGACGCGCCACAUAGAAGCCUCGUGAUAUCCCCCGGUGGGCGUCACCGACAGAGACAAUUGUGCAAUGAAGACCCCGGCAGCCUUUGUUGUCGCCCUAUAACUGUAGCUGGGUUUUUGCAACUAGGGCGGUCGCGUGGCUCUGCUCAAGCUGCCCACUAGUCCCCUGUUUCGACAUGAUCCAGAAGACAAGUCGCGGAGACUAAACAAGGUUGAACAACAUGUGCCUCUUGCAGUUUAACUAAUGAUGCUUCUUAAAUAAUGCCUUGUCACUUGCUAGAUUUUUCCUCCAAGUUUCUAUAUGCACCGUACCUUGCAUGUCUCUCAGAGAGGAUGGUGUACUGUUGAUGUAUGUACCACUUCUUUUUGCAGGGAAUGUAUAUAUCAUGUACGUACCACUUGCAUGAGCCGCUGAAUGUUCCUAGGUAGUCUUAACGUAUGUUCGUACGCUAACCAUUAGGCUACACUGGAGCGAGUAGUAGUCAACAAGUCAUGGAUGAUGGGAUGCGUGCGUUCAUGCUCUAAAAAGUCAAAGGCUAGCUCUUUUUCUUAAAUUUGUUGCAAUGGUUUUUAGUUGUUGUGGCUAGAAGACGUGGAUGCUAUUGUUGCAAGGCACGACAAUUCCUUGUUUUUAUUUAUUUACAUUUAAAAAUAUGUUGCAGUCGCGACAUAUUUUCUAGGCAGGACGGCAUCUCAUCCCCUUCAUCUUAUCAGUUAACUCGCUAUGCUGUUUAGAUUUCUACACCAUCUCAACUUUGCACAUUUGGUUCGACCUCUUUGGCCGCUAUUGGCCCCUUACGUCAAAUGGUUUCGGCUUUUCUGAUGAAAUGUUUUAAUCACCGAAUAAAGCAACAGAACACGUACUUAAUUUGUACUAAAACCCGAUGAGAUGCAGCCGCGCAGGUAAGGAAGCCCAUCUAUGGGCCCAUCCAGUUUGCCGUACAUAACAACACAAGCCCGUGAAUAUUUGAUUGUCGCAUAGAGAAAAUGUAUUUAAGAAUUCACUAACUGCAACCUUGAAACAUUAAAUAGAAGAAUGACAGAGUGUAGACGUGCACUACCUUUUGGUCAGGGGCAGAGCUAGGAUUUGAACAUAGGUGGGGCGAAGAGGACAAUGCACGUGCAGGAAAUUCAGGACCAAAUAUAUUGAUUCUGAAAUAUAGUGUUAAUAUCAAACAAACAAUGUUAUUUUUUCCUGCAAUAACAUUGAAAUAGCUAGGUUUUUUAUUAGCUUAGAUAUAUAUCUACACACAUCAGGCCCAUCAAACGUCAAGGUUUGUAGAGAUUUCACUCCCAAAAUAUAUACUCCCUCUGUACCUAAAUAAUUGUAGUAGGGAAGAACUAGUCAAGUUUUCCCCAAUUACAAUUAUUUAGAUACAGAGGGAGUACAUGUCACUCUGCAAUGUGCAAUCUCAUCAGUAGACUGGGUGGUUAAAAUAAAUGGUUUCAAUUGUUAGUUAUUGGUGGUCUCUUCUUCCUCAUGCUUUAUGCAAUUCUAGACUUCUAGUUAGUACACAAAUAUCAUUUUUAAUUGAAUCUAACUGGUACAACCUCUGUCCCAAAUUACGUGUCUUAAAUUUAUCAAGAUAUGAAUGUGUUGUAUGUAAACAAACCUAAGACAAGUAACCUUUGGAUCCGCACUGCUUCUGGUACUACCUCAUGUUGGUUUAACAGUGUGCCUCCUCACGCCAUCCAUGAUCAGCGUGUUAGUUAAGCUGUCUUUCCACUCUCUGCCAUAUCUCUUAUACCACUAUCAUGAUGGGCUUGCCUGCAUUUAUACAUAUACUUCUUUUUUUGCACCGUUACAUAUACUUUUUUCGUCACGGGUUAGAAGGCGUGCUUGGAAAUUCUCUGGAACCUAGGCGUUGUUGAUUGAAUGCGAGAUGGGUUGAAAAAUAGAAUUCACACUACGCAUGCAUACAGAACUAGUACAAUGGAGUACUAAUUGGCUGCUAAAAGUAAAUGCAAUGUGUCCACAACUUUGUUUAGUGUGAAAAUGCACGUAAAUUUAACCAUGCGUUCUAAACCGCGACUGAGGGAGUACUUGAUAUGGCAAGUUCUUUUUUAGCAUUUGUGGGCAUAUGUUGGCUUUAUUGACCAUUAAUGGGGUGAUAGUGACAAGGUAGCAUUUCUAGUAUUAUAGGUGAUCCAAAUUUAACGGUGUAUAAUGACCACACUAUUAUCCAAAUGGGAACAACCUCCCAUUAAUGGUAGGAGAAUCAGUCACCCAUUUUUGUACAACCUCCCACUAAUGUGUCUGUGAUUUGUUUGCAAACAUUUAUUUUUUACUCUCACUGCGAAAUGCCCCUAUGAGGAAGAACAACAUAAAAAUAGGUCUCGUGCCUGUGAGUUUUUGCAAAGUUUUUUACUCUCCCUGUCAAGUGGCCCUACAAGUAAGAACAAUAGUAAAAAAUGGAUCGUGUACCUGUGAUUUUUUACAAAGUUUUUUACUCUCACUGCCGAGCGGCCCUAUUAAGAAAAGCAAGACAAAAAUUAGGCAGCAGCUUCAAGGGGUUGAACCAGGUUCCAACUCACCAUCGUACCAUCGCAUACUUCCAAUUUUUCACAGGUUACAAAUGAAGUUAUUCCAUUCCUAAUAAAAUUUGAAAUAAAAAUGAGUUUUUGUUCGGUACACCGUACCCCCGCCCCCUCCCUCACAACCUACCUUGAAAAAAGCCAAGGCACGCGUUGGUUUGAAGUUUUCGUAGCAAUCUAGAGGAUCUGUGUGAUAUUUCAGCUGCAACGGACUGCAGUUCUUUGUCGAUUUUUCUGCAAAUGAUUUACCUAUUGUGGCCGCUAUAGAUUUUCUAGGUAGCAUGUCUUCUCAUCCCAUCCCGGGCCUCGCUCUCGAGGCCAUCGGGGAUCAGUUUGUGUGUUCGUCCGAUUUCUUCUAAGAUCGAUCUGCAACGUCCGUCGGUACCGCUGGAGCUGCACUUCCACUCUAGUGUGGCACGCCAAUAUUUUUUAUCAUAUCUACACGCCGUUGCUUAUACUUUAAAUGGUAUGUUUUGGGAGCAUUCGUUUGUAGCCUUAUGCAACAUAGACUAUCAUGCAAUGACAGGAUGACAGUGACUGAGGUAGAAUUUCUGGAACCGUACCCAAUGACAGAUUUUAAGAUGGAUGGUGAUCACACUGUUAUCCAGAUGGAAAAACCUCCAAUGGUAGGAAUCAUAUACUUGGGCAUGUUGUCCUGAUUUUUCUUUUUGAAAUUGAGACAAAAUAUUUGCCUCAUCUCACUAAUAAAAGAGAGGGUUGAAUUACAUAGCUGGCUGUCCAAGGACGGCUCUCCAAUUUUGUUUUUUAUUCUUACGACAUUACAGAACUAACAUCCUCAGAGCAACUCUAGCACACCCCGCAUCCAUCCCCGACCCGUAAAAUAACCGCCAAAAUGCGGGUACGGGCCGGAAAGCCUGCCCGACCAGACCACGCAUCCCGCCCCGGUCCGCAAAUUUUUUUUGGGGGCGCGGCAAAUUCCCGACCCCAACCCGGAAAAACGCGGGUUUCCGCCUCGCUGCUGCGGUGCCCUGCAUCACAGAGAAGCAGUUGGCGGGAGGGACAUUUCAGGCCGCGCUCUUUGCCCCCUCCUUCCGCCGCCGCCCGCCCUUGCUUACGCCCGCCCGCCGCCGGCGAUUCCGGCAAUAUCUGCAGGCGAGCCGCUGCACCGCCCCUCCGGAUCCGGUGAGAAGACSCCCCCCCCCCCGCCGCUGUCGCCGCCGGGGUAUCGACCACCAUCGAGCGCACCCCCUCGUCGCCGCCCGGGUCAUCCGCAACCGGUUAGUCCUUUAUUUUUAUUUUUGUGAGCUGUGCGAGAAGUUCUUACUAUCCGAUUCGUCCGAUUCGGACGACUCGGAUGUUGAGACCAUGCUUGCGAACUUUCGGCAGCAAACAUUAGUCAUGGCGCUUGCCGUGAAGGAGCAUGAAGACGAGCACCGGAAGAGGAGGCGAGGAUUGACUGUCGGGCGUUUGUGCAUUUCUCGAAAUCGCCAUCUUGGAAACGAGAUGUUGAUGCAAGACUAUUUCACGAAGAAUCCUACAUAUCCUCCGCACCUCUUUCGGAGAAGGGAUCGAAUGCGCCGAUCCCUCUUUGUGAAACUUGUUCAAGCUUGCGAGUCAAAUUGCCGGUAUCCAUUUGUAUUUGUAUUCAUGACAAGUUUUGUAUUGCACUAUUUAAGUUUGCUAUGGUUAUUUGAAUAAUUAUUUGUAAUGCGGAUGAUUAUUGUAUUAUGUUUGAUUCGAAUAAUUAAGUUUGUUUUCGAUUGUUGAAUUAUGUUGUAUUUGAUAUUUGUGGGCUGAUGAUAUGCGGGAUGCAGCGGUGCAAAGAGCAGACCCCGCAAAGCCGACCAGUAAAAAAGUAUAUUCCGCGAAUAUAUAUUUUGACGGAUCCGUUUGGAGGGUCUGCAUGUGUGCCAGCCCGGGCCAGCCCGCAAAAGCUGUUUUACACGAACUGCAAACGCGUUUUGCAAGCAAGUAGUACUUGUUGUGGAACACGUCCGGCGUUCCACCACUCCUUAAUAGUGCCAAUUUUCUGGCCCCCUCUUGCAAAGUUCACUAGUGGAAAACGGACCUUUGGCCGGGACCCUUUAGUCCCGGCCUGCCUCUAGGCCAGGAUUAAAGGCCCGGCCACGUCACCCCAGUUCUCAAUGCCUCCCUCGAGGCUUUAGUCCCGGUCCGUAAGGAGCCUUUAGUCCCGGUUCGUGUCCCAAACCGGGACUAAAGGGCUACGCGGCGGGCAGUGGUGGUGGCAACCGUUCGUAUCCCCCUUUAGUCCCGGUUGGUGGCUCAACCUGGGACUAAAGGCCUAACACGUGGCAUGUCGUAGUGGUGGCAACCGUUGGUAUACCUCUUUAGUCCCGGUUGGUGGCUCAACCCGGGACUAAAGGCCCAAACGGUUUGCAUCCCGCGUCGUUUCGGGCAAUGAAAAGCACGAACCGAAGCACAGUCGCCAUUUCUCUGUUUCUUCUUCUCUCUCGCUCUCCCUCUCUGUUCUUCUCCUCUCUUCUUCCCUUCUCUUCUUCCACCAUGCCAACUCGCUUUCAAAAGGUGCUCGCACAUCGCACGACCAUGCUCGAUGUCGUGUACACGAACGAGAGCAGGGAGGUGCCAUUUUUUCUUGAAUAGUUGAAGGAAAAAUGUCUUGACGCCGCAAUGGAUCAUGAGAAGUUUUUGGGGCUUGAUCUGGAGUACACGGCCGAUCAACACGGUGUUGCCGUCAUCCAACUAUGCUUCGCACGCCAUGUCUUGAUCUUCCAAUGGGCGAGGUAAGUUUUGAGGCUUUCUUUGAUCCAAGAUAAUGACAUUGUAAGUUUAUUUGUUUCAAUCAUAGUUGGUUCCCUUCAAAUAGUUGUAGUGAAACAAUUUUGAUUAGUUGAAGGGGAACACAAUCUAAUUGGUAAUAGURGUUCCAUAAUCUGAAAAUCGUAUUAGAAUCAACUAGUGUUUAAUAUGUUUCAUUGGAAUCAUAGUUGGUUCGCUUCAAAUAGUUGUAGUGAAACAAUUUUGAUUAGUUGAAGGGGAACACAGUCUGAUUGGAAUAGUGUUCCAUAAUCUGAAAAAUCGUAUUAGAAUCAACUAGUGUUUAAUAUGUUCCAUUGGAAUCAUAGUUGGUUCGCUUCAAAUAGUUGUAGUGAAACAAUUUUGAUUAGUUGAAGGGAACACAAUCUGAUUGGAAUAGUGUUCCACAAUCUGAAAAAUAUGAUUGGUUCAAUAUGUUCCAUUGAAAUCAUAGUUGUAGUGAUACAAUUUUAUGCGGUGUUCUUUGAUCCAAGGUUAUGAAAAUUGCAUAUAGCUAGUGAUCUCUCUAGGUUCCAUUGGAUAGCAAUAUGAUAUGUCAUAGUCAUGAAAAUUGCAUAUAGCUAGUGAUCUCUCUAGGUUCCAUUGGAUAGCUAUAGUGAUCUCUGUAGGUUCCAUUGCAUAUGUUCUAUUUGAAUCCUAAAGAUAAUUUUCUCUUCAGUUGUAGUGAAACAUGUUUCCUUAUUGCAGCAGUAUGUAACAUUUGUUCCAUUUUAAUUUGUUUCUGUUGCAGUAGUGACAAGCAUUGUCCAGAACUCAUGGACUUCCUUCGCAGCGGCAUCACUUUUGCUACCGCUGACAUAAGGAACGACAAGCUGAAGAUGAGGUACAACUUCGGUAUUGCAGAAGGAAAACGCCAGGAUAGCAAAGGAACAUCAUGAUGCGCAGAUGAAAAAGAAGGAACCCGAGCCCCGCCCGGAAUACACCGAGAAGCAAAUAGCAUGGGCAAAAGACUUCAUAACCCUUCCAUCACAAUAUGACUUACACUAUAAGCCUGAUGACUAUACACGCACAUUGCAGAAGGAAGUGAAAAAGAGCAGUUCAUGUGCAAGUGCAAGUGGGAGCAAAUCAAGUUCAACUACAAGCAAGAAAAAAUCAGACGUUCCUCAGCUUGGACAACAGGCCAAACAGUCGAUCCCACCCCUCAAGGUGUUAACCGAGAAUGUUCCCCCUCCGAUGCAGGGGCAAGCUUUUGAAAGAGCAAAGGAGUUGGCGGCUGAAUGUGGUAUCUCGGUUGAAGAUUUGCCGGCUUCCCAAGACGACAGGAUACCCAAGGCUGUGGUAGCCCCUAAGCCACAGUUUGUCAUGGGAGAGCCUUUGGUCAGCAAAGAUGAUCUCCCAACAAAUAUGCGUUACUUGCAUCAAUGGUACUUAAGUGAAUCAAAGAAUGGGAGAAUGAUGAUCGUGCUGAGUGUCCCACGGGAGUACUACGGCGGCUCCGAAGAAAUCCAUAUCGACUUUGAUGAACUCUUCCAGAUGUACAAUGGCGACGCCCUCGAUAAAUCGCUUAUGAGUUGCUAUUGUCUGUAUGUUUUUCAAUUCGUUGUCUACAUAUAACUUGUUUAGUUAUUUCAAUUCAUUGUCUAUAUAUAACUUGUACUCUAUUAUGCAGAAUGAAGAUUCUGGAUUGUAAAAGUAAGACCAUCCUAAAUAUUGGGUUUAUUGACCCAGAUAAAAUACAUAUAGCGACGCUAACUGAUAAACCCAAGGAGGCAGAGGAAAACCUUCUAAGGUUUCUAAUAAAUCAAAAUUUCUGUGACCACAUACUGUUUCCAUACAACUUCAGGUGAGGGUCUUUACUCUGUUGUGUCCAUUCACUUAUAAGUGUAAUUGAUAAGUUACUGACAUAUACACACACACACACACACACACACACACACACACACACACACACAUGUGCAGCUUUCAUUGGAUUCUGUUGGCCAUUCAAAUUGAUAAGGGAAGAGUUGAUGUCUUCGACCCAUUAUCGAGACCCUUGGAACAGUUCCAAAGCCUGCAGGACAUGCUCCAAGGGUAAUUUUAAUCAAUCUUGCGCUCUAUCGGUCUCUUUCAAUGAUUUUCUGAUAUAUCAAUUAAUGAAAAACUUAGCAAAUCAUUAUCCUUGUCAGGCAGGGUUUGGAAGCGGUUCAAGUGCGUGACUCCCGGUAACUUUCCUGAGAAGCUGACCUUUAGAGCGGCUCAGGUAAGUAGUAGUAUGAUAUACUUCUAUUAAUUUUCAAUACAUUUAUGAUGCUAGAUUAUUAUUUUGAUUAUAUAUAUUAUAUUCUCGUAAAGUGCGACCAGCAGCCACGGGGAACGCAUCUAUGCGGAUACUAUGUUUGCGAGACCAUUCGCACGUUUACCUCUGAGCUCAAGGAUCACAGAUUCGACGUAAGCAAUGAACAUUCACACCUCUAUUUUUACCCGUCAUUCUUUGUUAUCAUGAUUGAUAUUCAUAUUCAUCUCCUCUUCUUAUAUAGCACACGACCAUGAGGACGAAGGUCCUACCAGAGCAACGCGCGAUUGCUGUUGCAGAGGAGCUUGCGGGAUUUCUGAGAACGGAAGCUAUAGAUGACAAAUGACGAUUUAGUGUAACCAGGGGCCAUUACUGAUGUUCGUCCAUGUAAUCGAAUAGACGGGCUCUAGUCCCGAUAAUUCAAAUCUCCAUAUAAUUGUAUAUAUAUGCUCGCUUGUAAGAUAAGUUAAUCUUAUAUAUAUAUGCAUAAUUAUUUCUAUUUAAAUUAUAUGAAAACUAAUUCCCGAACACCAAACAAGGCAUCACGUUAAUCUCCCGAACACCUAAACCCUAAAACCCUAAAACCCAAAAAUAAUUUCAUUCAAAAAAAAACCCAAAACCAGUAAAAUCUGAAAAUCUUUAGUCCCGGUCCGUGUAACGAACCGGGACUAAAGGGCCUGCCCCUGGGACGCUACGAGGCGCCCACGUGGAGCACCUUUAGACCCGGCUUGUAACAGGGCCGGGACUAAAGAUUAGGCCUUUAGUCCCGCCCCUUUAGUCCCGGUUGGUGAACCGGGACUAAAGCCAGUUCGAACCCGGUCCUGUAUGUAAGUCAAGCAAAGAAUUUAUGCUCUGGUGGUGCCUGAUUGUUCCACACAGCCGUCAUAUUGUCUUAUCACUCACUCAUUUUAUUACAACACCAAAAUUACACAAAAACAGUAGCACCAUGACACGGCGUAGAGCACACACACGCUCACAAGCUUCAGCAUAAAUCAGCACAAAACUUACUGGGAGGUAGCAUCUCUGGACUUCUAGCCAAGACAGAUUUCACGUUGUAUGGUGAUCAGAGUGUUAUCCCAAAUGGGAACAACCUCAUAGGGUAGGAAGCAUAUAUAUAUACUCCGGGCAUGAUGUCUGAUCACUCAACUCAUUUUAUUACAACAUCACAAUUAUAAAGAACCACUAGUACCAUGACAUGAUCAUAGCGCACACACACACACGCUCACACGCUUCAGCAAUCACGGCAACUAAACAAUUUCUUACAUGGCGGAGGCAUGGCCCUCGUCGCUGGCGGUCUCGAUGCCGUCGACACGGCUGUUGGGGACGGCGCAGUUGAACCGGAUCUCGCCCUGGCUGCCGGUGAGCAAGUCCAUGUUGCUCAUCUUCACCAUGGACUUGGCAAACUGCUCGAAGAACGCUCCCUGGUUGAGGGCGAAUCGCGUCGCCAUGCGCGUGGUUUCAGGGUGGACGAUGAGGCCCUGGUCCGACUUGAACAGGCCCUGCUUGGCGAUGAGAUCAAAGUAGUACUUGUUGUCGAACACGUCCGGCGUGCGCACAUCGAGCGACUGGUUGACGCUAAGCGCGGGCACGUCGUUGGCGCACUUGGCCUUGAGCUUGGCGGCGAAAUUGGGGUCGAUUGCUGGGUUGGUGUCGACUUCCGGCGUGAAGCGGUCGGAGAAGGCGGGGCAGUGGGCGAUGCCGAACGUGUGUGCGCCGGAGAGGGACACCAGGUCGGCCUUGUCGAGGUUGCGGUCGCCGAAGGACUUGAGGAGCUCCGGCACGGUGAAUGAGGGGGCUGGAAGGGUGAAGACGAGGUCCUGCGACGCUGGGGCCAGCCCGUCGCGCCGGCCCAGAGCCACCUCAAAGCGGGGCCCGCCAGCCUGCACGCACCACAUCCACGUAAACGUAAACGUAAACGUAUAUGUUAGUCACAGUUCGAGAAACAUGUGUAGAAAAAACUGAAAAAGUAGACUAUGAUAUGCUAGGAAUAAUGGUUUGGCCGUGCAUGCAUGCUGCAUGUCCAGCACGAAAGGUAUAGGGCAAUGGUACCAUACCAGCACGACGGAGUCACGGGUAGCGAGAACGGUGAUGUCGGCGCAGGAGACAGUCCGGCCGCAGGACCUGUGGACGGCGGCGCGGAUGGUCUCGAUGAGGUUGAGCCCCACCGGCCGGAGCGUCAGAUUUGGCCCCAACGCCUGCUCGCUGUUGUUGCCGGUCAGGAGCACCGACGCGUCGCAGCCCUGCAACAAGAGCAAAUAUAAGUAAGUAAGAAGAAGCGCCAUGCAUAUAUCAUAUGUAGAUACAUAUUUCUGACGUUGAUACAUACGCACCUGAGGGAAGCAGUCGUGGAAGAAGAUGCGGAUGAGCCCCGGCGCUACGCCGACGUCUUUACGGAAGGCCUCGGCGACGUGAUACUGGACGAUGUGUUCCAGGUCCGGGCACGAGCCCGCGUGGAAGUCCGGCGAAAGCUCCCCGGCGGCCGCCGCUGCCGAAUGGACGACGGCGCAGGCCAUGGCCACGACGACCAGGGCCGCUGCUGCUCUGGACGCCAUCUUUCGAUCACACUCUCUGCGGCAGAUUGAUGGAGCUAGGUUUUGCAGGUACCUAGGGCGGCCGGCGGUCGUCGUGUGGCUUCCUCAAGCUAGCUAGCCAACCCCUCUCUAUUUAUAAUCGGUCGGUCCUCGGUCAAAUGUCUCCGAUGCAAUUACCUCCACAGCCUUGAUCUGAUCCAGAAUUCCAACACAGACGGACAAGUCGCACUAGCUAGACGUACGUACGUUGCUUACAAAUCUGGAUCAACAUGUGCAAGUCGCUUAACUUUUUUUUAACAUAUACAUGCGCAUACAUUUAUUCCUAUGAAUACAUACAUGCACAUCAUACCCCUAUGAGAAGCUCCGAGAGACUCAAUCGAUAUAUCAUAUUAAGAUUUACAAAAUUAUCAUAGACGCCUCUUCGACAAAAACUCUUCUUCCAAUAAAAGUGUAUAGCUGGAAAUCCUAAAGUAAAUUUGAAAACAAUGCAAACAACAAGAUUUGAUCAUGAUAGGAUGGGGAUAUCACUGUUUCUCUAACCAUUCAAUAGGUUGGUUUACUCAAGUCGCAUGCCUUGAAACUACAUGUCGGAAGAGCUAGUUAAGGCCUACACCGUUGCGAUAAAAGAGUUUGAUAAUGCAUGCAUCGACGGCGUCACUUUCCCGGAGCUUUCGUGCACACGCAUUUGCACCUAACCAACGGUGACAUGUUGCCAAACUAGCAUACAUGUGUAUGCAAUUAAGGGCCGGCGGGCACGCAGGCAAGAGCUGACCGGGCUCCAUUGUUUUCUCGGUGAAGCGGAUCGAUUGGCUGCUCGAUUGAUUCCAUGGAUGGACAAACAAGAAGAUUAGUAUUAAUUAAUCCACUUGUUAAUGUGUAUAUAUAUAGUUUACUGAUCAAGAUAGCUGUAGGAUCAAGUAGGGUUUUAUGUAUGUAUUUCGCCUGCGUUGAAAGGAGACUUGGAUAUGGUUAACUGAUUUGGAAUAAUUUUGGAUGACACAUAGGAGAUGAUUGAGUACUUAAGGACGGAUUAAUUAGCUAGGGGUGGUUGGAUGGGAUCGAUAGAGUGUGGCCUCAUCUCCCGGAGGAUGCCUGCCACUUGCAAGAUCGACAUGAUAGAAUAAUGCCGCUGAAAAUUCUUACAGCAAGGUCGGCCACGUGCUGCACCUACAUAUGGGCGACCUCCAUGGAGGUGGUUAUUUUGAAAAAGACUCAAAAUAAAUUUUAAAGCUUCAAAUAUUUUUGAAAAAAAUGUUACAUGUUCAUAUGUAUUAUGGUUGGAGCUAGACAGAAAAGGCAAAGUCAUGAUUUGAAACCGGCAAACAGUACAAGAACUGUUCACUAUUAAAAAUGUUGGGUUUUAUCUUUUUUGUGUAGCUCUCGCUGUUACGUAUUUCAUCGCCAGAUUUUAUACACAUGUAGAAUACAUCCAUAUGAAUGUGUAGAAUUGUUUUCAGAAUGUUCUAAAACUCCAAAAUGUGAUUAUCGGAUUUUUACAAAAUUUCCAUCUUCAUGGAGGUCGACCGCCAAAAGCCCUCACUCAGCCAAAUACUCUUAUAAUAUAACUGACUUAGGCUAGAUGGAGCCAGUCAUGCGCUCGUUCCUACUUACCCCCUCCGUUCUUAAAUAUAAGACCUUUUAAAAAUUUCACUAUGAACAACAUACGGAUGUAUGUAAUCAUAUUUUAGGAUGUAGAUUCACUUAUUUUGCUUCGUUUUUAGUUCAUAGUGUAAUUUCUAAAAGGUCUUAUAUUUAGAAACGGAGGGAGUACACGAUAGCCAAGGCUCCUCUUUGCGUACAUGCCGGAAGUUCAAAAGAAGCAUGAGAUGAUUGUUUUUCUUUAGAUCUGAAGGCAUUCUAUCUAGGACGGUUCAAUCAGGUUAAAUUACCGUCCUGGAUCUGAGCUAUGGCUGAGCUCAGUUCUGCACCUAGGCAUGUUCAUAUCAAGGACGGUCGACCUGCUCAAGCGAGCCGUCCUGAUCGUUAAGGACACGAACGUCGUGCACUGUACUUGGUAGGUAGCUAAUCUUGGAGUACGUUCGUACGCAGAAUAGUAGGCUGGAUGCGCGCGUUCCAGCACAAGAAGUCAAAGCCUAGCUCCUCCCCUGGGGUGCAUGCAUCUGACUUUGAUCCACCGAAAAUUGUUCGAGGACCGUGGAAUCCUUGUACGGUUCCGGUUAAAUUGCCCUCACGCAAGUGGAGUGGACCUGAGUAGCAUGUAUUUUUUUUCAAACCAUGCCAUUUCACUAAGCCAUGCAUGUCCUUUUCUCGGUGCAAUUAACCCAUUCAUGAUUGUUAGUCCCAAUUUAAAUUUCUGUAUUAGACCCUUGGAGUCAGAAUAUAUAGUUAAGAGUGAAUUCCAGCUUCUACCACCUAUUUUGACAUUUUUAACACUAAUUACCCUAUUUAACGGGACUUCAUCUGUUUUAUCCCAUUUAGCAAAAAUUCUGCCUUAAUUUAUCAUGUUUAAAAUUUUAUGAACGUUCUGAUAGAAAGGUAUCAGUUUUCAGAUUCAGCUGGCAUGCCACAUCAAUGAUUUUUUCCAGCCUAUUUUACUUCAUGUUGAACCGGUGCUGGCAGCUUCUCCCAACUAAGGGAGUCCUUGUCUAAGGGGUCCUCAGGCUGUUUGUCUAUUCUCAUGGACCGAACUCCCGGUCAUGUUCGACCGUCACUAGAACUAUCAGAAUCAAGAUGGACUCUUCCGAAGACUUAACGUACGGUCCAAGGCAACGUAGUGAUCGGCAUAAUCCUUCUCUAUUGUAAUCGAUUUUGUGUAAUCCUAUCAUCCCUGGUAUCUAUAUAAACCAGGGGGCCAUAGUUCAUAGGCCAGAUUAAGCUUAUUACGAUUAGGGUUUAGACCACAACAUAUGAUCUCGAGGUAGAUUAACUCUGUACUCUGUACUACUCCAUCAAUACCAACAAAAGCAAGACGUAGGAUUUUACUUGCAUCAAAAGGGCCCGCACCUGGGUAAAACAUCGUCUUAUUCUUCUCUUGUUACCAUCGACCCAAGAUCCAUAGUUCGGACCCCCUACUCGAGAUCAGAUAGUUUUGCUACCAACACCGACCCAUCCAACCCGAUAUGAACGCACCAGAGCAGGUGGUUCGCAUCACCGACCAAUGCAUAAGUCAGUUUUAGAAGGGUGACAUGUAUACACAUGAUCUUCUAAUAAGGAUCUUAAUUCUAUCAGAAUGAAAUGCCUCAUCGGCCAAUGCAUGAGUUACGAAAAUUUCAGAAUAUACAAAUUGCUAUAUACUAAUGCUGAAAGUCAUGUGGAAUAGGGUACGAAUGAGAGGGCCAUAGACCCGCUAUCAACUGAGCACAACCUGAUGGGGUCCUGCCAUGUCACCGAAGUAGAAAGAACAACUGAGCACAUUGUAAUGGUGUCAUGUACAUGCACACGCCCACACCGACGCCGGCGAGCAUGACAGAGCCGUCAGAUCCCAUGGGGUCGUAUGUUUCCUUGAUGUCACGGCCAUACAACCCUACUCGAGCAGGUAAGAAAUCACGCUGCCAUCGCCAUCGCCGUUGCCUGACAAUCCCUAAGCCUAGGUCUGAGCAAGCCUAGCGGGUGCAUGCGGUCCGAAACAUGGACGGACGACGAUUGGAGGCAAGUGUGGCGCGCAGCCGACUCAGGCAUUGUGCGUUGGACGCGAUGCGAGCGACCUCCAUCGGAUCGGACCUAUUCGGGGGAAGCAGCGAUGAUCGGUUCAGCAGAGAGAAAAGAGACAGAAAAAACAGUUGAUGUGACAUAACGCUUGCAAUGUCUUAAACACUGUAAAUCAUGGCAAAACUUUUGCUAAAUAGGAUAAAAGAGAUAAAAUCUCGCUAAAUAGGGUAUUAGUGUCAAAAAUAUUAAAAUAGAGGGUAAAAACCGGAAUUCACUCUUAAAUGAAAAAGAGUUAGUAAGAGGCCCAUAGGGCAGCACAUAGUUUAGCUAAAUAUGUUGAUGAUCCUUCCAUUUGGUGUUGUCAUUGCUAAUGGUGACUAUUGUAACCAAUUAAUAUAAACCACUAGGGUGGCUUCACAAAAGCGGAGUGUUACAUUAGCCAGCGAACUCUUAUUAAAACACUAAUCUCGCUAACGUCGGUGGUCUCAAACGGACGCGGAGAGGCCCUCAUCGCUAGUGGUCGUGAGGAUGCUCUGUGCAUUGCGCACGAAGCAACUGUUGCGACGGAUCUCGCCGACGUUUCCUUGGGGCCCCUGGAGGUUCCCGAGCUUGGUCAUGGAGGCAGCAAACUGGCCGAAGAACCACCAGUGGUUCCCGGCGAAGCCGUUGACCACCCAUUCGGUGCGCCAGUCGGCGGUGAGCUUCUGGUCGGAGGUGAACACCCCCUUGCCCUCUUGCAGGUUGGUGAAGUACUUGUUGUCGAACACGUCCGGGGUGGUCACGUCCAGGUCCUGCAGCCGGUUAAAGUCGGUGGAGCAGUUGGAGGCGAGGCUUCGGACGAAGCCUGAGUCCUCGGAGAAGCGGUUGGAGAAGGAGCUGCAGUGGCCCUUGCCGAUGGUGUGGCCGCCCGAGAGCGCGACCAGGUCCACGUUGUCGAGGUUGCGGGUCUGGAAGACGUCGAUGAGGGUGGCGGCGUUGGAGCUGGCCUGGGGGAGGUUGAAGACGGCCGAGCUCGGGGCCGGCGCGAGGCUGUCGAGCCGGCCGAGCGGCACGUCGUAGCCCUGACCCCCGGAGAAGGCGACGGCGUCACGGGUAGCGAGGGCCGUGAUGUCGGCGCAGGAGACGACGGGACCGCAGGCUGCGUGCACCAUGGCGCGGAUGGACUCGAUGAGCUGCAGCGCCCGUGGCUGCAGCGUCAGGUUCGGUGCCAGUUGCAGCUCGCUGCCAUCUCCCGUUAGAAGGACCGACGCAUCACAACCCUGUACAACCACGAAUGAAAGAGAUGAUGCUCUCUGGACAUUGACAUGAUCUCAAGUAUAUAUUUUGACCAUUAGUCUACUCAUAUGAGCAAGUUUUACAAUUAUAUGUUACAAGUUAAAACAAAUAUGAAAUUUUUCGUGAUGAUCUUUAUGAUACCAUUAUCAUCUUUAAGAAACUAUGUUAGAUCACACUUUAGUUUAAAUGUUUAAUACGAGAGCUAUUCCCAGAACACAAAAUGAGAUCUAGCUAGCUGGAAUGAAUUACCUGAGGGAAGCAGUCGUGGAAGAAGAUGCGGAGGAGGCCGGCGGCGAGGGCGAUCUCGCUCUGGAGCGCGGUCUGCACGGCGGAGCGCACCACGUCCUGUAGCUGCGGGCAGGAGUCGGCGUGGAAGUCGAAGGCGAGCCCUUCGGCGGGGGAGACCGGAGGAAUACUGCCACCGACGUGGUCGGUGGGCAUAGAGAUGAACGCCGAUGACGUCUUGGAGAAGGCUGCCGGGCACAGCACGGCGGCCACGAGGACCAGCAUCGCUGCUGUCCUGCUCGACGCCAUUGAUCCUAGCUAGCUACCUUGAGCACCUCAGUGCCUUCAGUCUGCUAGUGCUACUUUGCUGCUAGCUGCCUGCAAGUGAGCGUGGCUUCCUCACGUCAAUGAGAUGCCCUUAUUUAUACACGAACUAGAUGCGAUCGAUCUAUCGAACGUUUGCCAUCAAAGUCGUCAGAGAAAUUAAGAGGGAGCUAGCAGAGAUCCAAGACGAGAUCGAGUAGGUGGCAAGCUAUACCAGGAUCCAAGUGCACAUGCUUGAUCACGUCCGUGGUGAUGCAGAUUGCUGAGGUCGUGUGCGUACUUGUGCCGACCAAGCUCCCGGAUUCCGUGGUUCCGCUCGUGGCAUGUCAACGAACAGUACGCCCAGAUCGGUAGUUAUAUGCAGAGAUCUAAAAUUCAGGCAAUUACUUCGGAGUAUAAGCUAUGCAAAAAUGGUACAAUUACGGGCUACCUACGCAAUCAACUUGCAUGCCCUCCCACUAACCAAUCACUCCUCCAAGCUAUGACAUGUAGAAGCAUUGCAUAUGGUAGAUAUCAGAAGGACUGGACGCGCUUUGCUGCGCGUUAGAUUAGAAAAACCUAAUCAUUUGAUUUUAAAAUACAAUGUGUAUUACUUUUUAAAAAUGUCAAUUUUUUUUAAAUUUAUUAAAUUUAUUGAUAAUUAUAUAAAAAUCCAUAAUAUCAAAUUAUUAUUAGAUUCAUCAUUAAAUGAAUUAUCAUGUUUUUUAUUUAAUAUUGUGAAUGUCCAUAUAUUUGCUCUCAACUUGGUCAAAGUUGAAGAAUUCGACUUUCCAAAAAACUAAUGCCCCUUAUAUUUUGAAACUAAUAGAAAAUUUCUUUUGAUCUACGGGGGAGAUGACAUAGUGUGUUUUACUUUCAUUUAUAAUUCGAUAAUUUAAUGGACAUAAUAAUUUGAUUUGAAAAACUGUUAGUUUGAUUAGAAAGCAUAAUGUAUUUGUCUAAAGAAUUGUAGAGAGAGUUUUGAGAAAUUGUUGGCCCGGUCAAAAUUGGAUGAUCCAAUUUUAAUUGUUGUCUUUGAAGACCUCAACUGAGUGACUCUUUAAAACUAAGUAUGGUAUUAUAGAGGUAUAAAUAAAAUAAUUAAAUAAAAAAUCUUUGGGAAAUUGUUGACCAGAUCAAAAUUGGGUGCCACAAUGUCAAUUGGAGGCCUCAAUUGAAUGUGGGCUCUCCAAUUCUAGGGAGAUUAAUUAGUGUUAUAGAAUAUUACUACUGGUAAGUUGUGUUCCAAGCAAAUGUGAAAAAACAUCUUAUGUUAUGAUGAACAAUUUGAUGAUCCAUGAAGCGUAAGUGAAUUACGAAUAAAUAUGAUGUGUGGAGGGGGAGAGAAACUAAAAUGUUAAUUAUGAAUAAGUAACAAAUGGGAUUGCCAUUUUGGCACGAGGAAUUGGAUGGUGGUCCGUGUGUUGAUUGGGAGCGGGCAAAUGGAGCUUAACCCAACAGAGUGUAACACACCGAACCAGCGUCCAGAUGCAAAAAUGCUACACCUACGUAAUCUAUUACUUAAGCUUACGUUUCUUUCCUUCUCAACUAAUCAUCUCCCCCCUGAUUUUCAUUGGAUGGGUUUGGGCCUUUUUCCUCUUCCAACCAGAUUAAGCCAAAUCAGCUCUUACGUAACUUCCUUAAGUAGUUUUACGUAGGUGUAGCAAAGCUCCUCCAGAUGCCACACCUCAAACGUGCCCCACCCACCCGCUCCGAGAGUUUCGCGGCCAGGGGAAAGAGUAGUCGUCCCGCGAAACUCACCAAUUAGCUCAUAUAAUCUGCUCAUCAAUUAUUGAGAAUUAACACUACAACUAUACAAUGGUAUUAUCCGAUUGACAUUGGUUGGCAUAAUGAUGUAAAACAUGUCAUUUUGUGACCUACUCGGGAUAAUUGAUUCAUUCAUCUCAUAUGUGUAUGAUGCAAUAGUCAAGACGAGUGAAUUGUACGUGUAUUUUUGGCAGAAAAAAAGGGGUCUAUGUAUAAUUGCCAAAUAUAUGUGAAUCAUCUUAUCAUGCAUGGCAAGAAAGCAAUUCUCCACAUAAUAAACAUUCAGCACCACACGCACUUACCUCGUUAGACUAUAACGUCCCCCGUUCGGACCUAGCUAUGGAAGAGGAUUAUUCAUCUGUGGUUCCUGCACUCAUGGAUACGUAUACUAAAUAUAAAGGUAGUAAAACAUGUUUCUGCAGUUCAGUACAAGUAAAUUAGGAGUGGAAUAAAAAAAACUACAGUAGCUCACAUCUGCUUAAUAACAAAAACAAUGGCAGAUACCAUACAUAUGGUUAAUGAGGCUACAAGUGCAACGGCCGUAGAUAACAAGGGGGAUACCAUACAUAUGUUUGGCGCAAACCACCGCUCUUGGUGAGGAAGUGGCAUCACCGAGGUGAUAUUCGACAAGACAUCUAUAACGUGUAGGUGUAGGUGUAGGAUCCCUGCGUACAAUGGUGUCACCCGUGAUGGUAGGAACGGCCUUAAAACCAAUACUCAGGCUCCUUUUGAUGAGGCUCUGACCGAUUGUAAUGUCAAUCAAGAGAGCAUUGCCCCCAAUACUUUUUAACGGGACGGCUCUUCCGAGGAUAAGAUCUGCUACGUUGUACACUAUCAUGUGGCUCGAGUAAUCGGUGCUGGUACCGACGAGCAAGAUCUGCGAGUCACAUUCUAUUAGUUCAAAAGGGCUGCAGAUCUUUGCCUUGGGACAUAAUAUGGUGAUCACCUUGGGUGGGUGAAACGAAAACGACGACGAAGACCAAGUGAAUCCUGACUUCUUCUCGUGGAGAGGCGGGUCGAUCUGGAAAAUCCAUAGUUCAUCAUCUUUGCUUGAGCCGGGCUUUUGCUGCAGCAUGUAAAAUUUUCCUCGGCAUGAUAUGAUUCUGUUAUCCGGCGAGAAGCUCCAGGCCGAGAAACUCCAUUGCUCAUCCUUGGUGGUAGCAAACAUCACGCGUGACAGACUUAGAUGAACGAUCAUGAGCAUCGGAACCCCUUGAGCGCCGACGCUCAAGGACGCGGCCACCCUGCCUGGCCAAAUAUAAGGACGCUCCAUGCGUGAACUACAGUGGGUUAGUCCCAAGCUCAUUGUGACAUAGGUGAUUGGCGGGAACUUGGCAACGCUCCCCGUGAAGGGGUGAAGUAGGCAAACCUCAUCGUCAUUUUCAUUAUCGUGUUGCCGGCGCCGCUGCAGGAGGAGGAGGCCUUCAACCGGGCAGAGGACCCAAUGUUCGUCGAGAAGAGGGACCCGAGGGCGGAGGAACACUCCGGUGUCGAGGUUGAGGAAACGCUGCCGGCCGUCUUCAAGGUGGAGGCCGUGGCCCUCGGGCAGCAUCAUCCACCGGCGCGGGUGGAAGCGCGGGUCGGCGAUGCCCUUCGCGCGCGGGCAGGGCGUGCUGGACCGAACGUGCGUGCACACGGCGCGGAAGCGGACGUAGCCGAGCAGGUCGUCGCCGGCGAGCACCAGCCAGCCGACGACCUCGACCAAGUCAGCGGGCAACGACGCCAGCGGAGACGCGUUGUCGGCAUCGGUCGGCGGAGGGCGGCAGCAGUUCGCCGGCGAUGACAUCGACGGAUCGGAUCGUCGUUCGGGAUCUUUUUGCCUGCCCUAGCCGCCAGCGGAAGCGAAACGACGACGAAUGAUUCGGGAUGGCCGCUGAGAUGAUGGAGGCUAGUGUUUGUUUGUGCAUGGGCUACCGUAGCUCGUCGGGCUAGCAUACGGCCCAUGUACCCAUUUAUCUCUCUGACGUCGUUGCGUGUAUGAUGGUGGAUACUCCUUUUGUCCCAAAAUAUUUAUCAUAAAAAUGUAUGUAUCUAAAUUAUUUUAGUUAUAUAUAUAUUUAUUUAUUUAUUUUUAUACAUUUAUGUAACAAGUAAUUUCCGACAAAGGGUGUAAUUAUUUUCGCAUUUUUGUACCAGAACUUCUGGCCACCACCGUGUCUCGAUCUCAUAUGCACCCGGAUGAACCAUAAAAUCAGAAAAAAUAGUUAAACAAUUCAAAUAAUUCUGAACUAAUGAUGAAUGUCUCACAUUCAUGCGAAAAUUCGAGAUGAAAUGACAUUCUUUGAAAUCUGGACAGAAACAAUAAAAUCGACGCUUCCAAAAGACCAAUUUUAAAAGCAGUUUGGAACAUGGACCUUUUUUUUUCCAGGCCUCAACUAAUGUCAUUUCAUCACCAAAUUUUACAAGCAACUAAAACAUUCAUCAAUGUUUAUCACAUGGAAAAAUAAAAUUGUUUUUGGAUUUAUCUGCUACUUUUUCAGAUUUUACUAUAUAUUCAACCGGAUGCAUGUGUGCUCAGGAUUAAAAAAGCACUUUCGCCGCCACCAUGGUUUUAUUGAAGAUAACCAUAGGUAGAGUGUGAAUUACCCGUGCGUACCCUCUGCCAAAUGAGGCCACAUGUUCACCAUGUGACUGCUGAAAAUGUGCCAUAGAGGCAAUAAUAAAGUAGUUAUUAUUAUAUUUCCUAGAUAAUGAUAAUUGUCUAUUAUUCAUGCUAUAAUUGUAUUAACCGGAAACCGUAAUUCAUGUGAGAAUAUAUAGAUCACAAUGUGUCCCUAGUGAGCCUCUAGUUGGCUAGCUCGUUGAUCAAUAGAUGAUCAUGGUUUUGUGAUAAUGGACAUUGGAUGUCAUUGAUAACGUGAUCACAUCAUUUAUGAAUGAUGUGAUGGACAAGACCAAUCCUAAGCAUAGCACUAGAUCGUGUUGUUCGUGUGCUAAAGCUUUUCUAAUGUCAAGUAUCAUUUCCUUAGACCAUGAGAUUGUGCAACUCCCGGAUACUGUAGGAGUGCUUUGGGUGUAUCAAAAGUUACAACGUAACUGGAUGAUUAUAAAGGUGCACUACAGGUAUCUCCGAAAAUAUCUGUUGGGUUGUAUGAAUCGAGACUGGAAUUUGUCACUCCGUGUGAUGGAGAGGUAUCUCUAGGCCCACUCUGUAAUUCAUCAUCAUAUUGAGCUCAGUGUGACUAAGGACCCGUUCGGCAACGCUCCAGCUCCUUGCUUCGCAGCCGGAGCCAGCGGAGCUGUCCCAAACAGUCGCGCUCCGCGGAUCGACAAAGAUGGAGGCUCCAUCGAUUAGGCUGAUUUUGCAGAGCUAGCCUGGUCCCGCUCCACGAAGACGAAAAAUCAGGAGCGGCAUGAAAUUACAUGUGGAUGCCACUGAUAAGUAAUAACGAACAGGUACGACGCUGUUGAAUCUCUCUCGUGUCUUUUCUUCCCCGUUCGAGCUCCUCGCCAUGGCGCCCGAACCCUAGACCUCCACGUCGAUCGAAGUGUGUUGCUGUCCGAAUUAAGCUCUCCUCCGCCAAAACUAGACCACGAGACGAAUUUCAAUCCACCCCAGCAAACAUACACCUCUCCACGUGCUAGAUCUGUUUUGAUUUUUUUAGAGAAUUUGGAUCCAUCUUCCUGCUAUUAGCAGGCUGGAUCCACAAGAAAUGGGCCGACAACCCAACUACACAUGAAACAGGGGCACAGAUCGCUACCGAACGGUUCCACGCUCAAGCUAGCGAUCAGGGGAGCGGCUCCUCACUCGCCUGGAGCGGAGCGACCGGAUUAGGAGGAGCGGAGGGCUACUGAACGGGCCCUAAGGAGUUAGCCACGGGAUGAUGUGUUACGGAACGAGUAAAGAGACUUGCCGGUAACGAGAUUGAACAAGGUAUAGGGAUACCGACGAUCGAAUCUCGGACAAGUAUCAUACCGGUAGACAAAGGGAAUUGCAUACAGGAUUGAUUGAAUCCCCAACAUCGUGGUUCAUCUGAUGAAAUCAUCGAGGAACAUGUGGUAACCAACAUGGAUAUCCAAACUCCGAUGUUGAUUAUUGACCGGAGAGGUGUCUCGGUCAUGUCUGCAUGCUUCCCGAACCCGUCGGGUCUACACACUUAAGGUUCGAUGACGCUAGGGUUAUAGGGAAAUAGUGUACGUGGUUACCGAAGGUUGUUCGGAGUCCCGGAUGAGAUCCUGGACGUAACGAGAAGUUCCGGAAUGGUCCACAGGUAAAUAUUCAUAUAUAGGAAGUGAGGAUUUGGUCACCGGAAUUGUUUCGGGUGACACCGGUAAUGUACCGGGACCACCGGAAGGGUUCCUGGGGUCCACCGGCAAGGGCCACCAGCCCCAAGUUGCUACAUGAGUUAAGAGUGGGUGGGAACCAGCCCAUAUGUGGGCUGGUGCGCCUCCACAACUAGCCCAAGGCGCACAAGGGGUGGAGAGAGGGGAAACCCUAGGCGUGGGAGGCCACCUUGGGCCUCAAAUGUUGGAAAUAUGCCCUAGAGGCAAUAAUAAAUUAGUUAUUAUUAUAUUUCUUAGUUCAUGAUAAUCUUUUAUUAUCCAUGCUAUAAUUGUAUUGAUUGGAAACACAAUACUUGUGUGGAUACAUAGACAAAACACUGUCCCUAGUAAGCCUCUAGUUGACUAGCUCGUUGAUCAAAGAUGGUCAAGGUUUCCUGGCCAUAGGCAAGUGUUGUCACUUGAUAACGGGAUCACAUCCUUAGGGGAAUCAUGUGAUGGACUAGACCCAAACUAAUAGACGUAGCAUGUUGAUCGUGUCAUUUUGUUGCUACUGUUUUCUGCGUGUCAAGUAUUUGUUCCUAUGACCAUGAGAUCAUAUAACUUACUAACACCGGAGGAAUACUUUGUGUGUAUCAAACGUCGCAACGUAACUGGGUGACUGUAAAGAUGCUCUACAGGUAUCUCCGAAGGUGUUCGUUAAGUUAGUAUGAAUCGAGACUGGGAUUUGUCACUCCGUGUGACGGAGAGGUAUCUCGGGGCCCACUCGGUAAUACAGCAUCACACACAAGCCUUGCAAGCAAUGUAACUUAGUGUAAGUUGCGGGAUCUUGUAUUACGGAACGAGUAAAGAGACUUGCCGGUAAACGAGAUUGAAAUAGGUAUGCGGAUACUGACGGUCGAAUCUCGGGCAACUAACAUACCGAAGGACAAAGGGAAUGACAUACGGGAUUAUACGAAUCCUUGGCACUGAGGUUCAAACGAUAAGAUCUUCGUAGAAUAUGUAGGAUCCAAUAUGGGCAUCCAGGUCCCGCUAUUGGAUAUUGACCGAGGAGUCUCUCGGGUCAUGUCUACAUAGUUCUCGAACCCGCAGGGUCUGCACACUUAAGGUUCGACGUUGUUUUAUGCGUAUUUGAGUUAUAUGGUUGGUUACCGAAUGUUGUUCGGAGUCCCGGAUGAGAUCACGGACGUCACGAGGGUCUCUGGAAUGGUCCGGAAACGAAGAUUGAUAUAUAGGAUGACCUCAUUUGAUUACCGGAAGGUUUUCGGAGUUACCGGGGAUGUACCGGGAAUGACGAAUGGGUUCCGGGAGUUCACCGGGGGGGGCAACCCACCCCGGGGAAGCCCAUAGGCCUUGGGGGAGACACACCAGCCCUUAGUGGGCUGGUGGGACAGCCCACAAGUGCCCUAUGCGCCAAGGAGAAGAAAAUCAAGAGAGAAAGAAAAAAAAAAGGAGGAGGUGGGAAGGGAGGGGGACUCCCUCCCACCAAACCUAGUCCAACUCGGUUUGGGGGGGGGAGAGUCCUCCCCCUUGGACUCAGCCGACCCCCUUGGGGCUCAAGAGCCCCAAGGCAAGGCCCCCUCCCUCCCACCUAUAUAUACGGAGGUUUUAGGGCUGAUUUGAGACGACUUUUCCACGGCAGCCCGACCACAUACCUCCACGGUUUUUCCUCUAGAUCGCGUUUCUGCGGAGCUCGGGCGGAGCCCUGCUGAGACAAGGUCAUCACCAACCUCCGAAGCGCCGUCACGCUGCCGGAGAACUCUUCUACCUCUCCGUCUCUCUUGCUGGAUCAAGAAGGCCGAGAUCAUCGUCGAGCUGUACGUGUGCUGAACGCGGAGGUGCCGUCCGUUCGGUACUAGAUCGUGUCACUCAUCGCGGGAUUGUUCACGGGGCGGAUCGAGGGACGUGAGGACGUUCCACUACAUCAACCGCGUUCACUAACGCUUCUGCUGUACGAUCUACAAGGGUACGUAGAUCACUCAUCCCAUCUCGUAGAUGGACAUCACCAUGAUAGGUCUUCGUGCCGUAGGAAAAUUUUUGUUUCCCAUGCGACGUUCCCCAACAGUGGCAUCAUGAGCUAGGUUCAUGCGUAGAUGUCUUCUCGAGUAGAACACAAAAGUUUUUUAUGGGCGGUGAUGUGCGUUUUGCUGCCCUCCUUAGUCUUUUCUUGAUUCCGCGGUAUUGUUGGAUUGAAGCGGCUUGGACCGACAUUACUCGUACGCUUACGAGAGACUGGUUUCAUCGUUACGAGUACCCCCCUUUGCUCAAAGAUGACUGGCAAGUGUCGGUUUCUCCAACUUUAGUUGAAUCGGAUUUGACCGAGGAGGUCCUUGGAUGAGGUUAAAUAGCAACUCAUAUAUCUCCGUUGUGGUGUUUGCGUAAGUAAGAUGCGAUCCUACUAGAUACCCUUGGUCACCACGUAAAACAUGCAACAACAAAAUUAGAGGACGUCUAACUUGUUUUUGCAGGGUAUGAUUGUGAUGUGAUAUGGCCAACGAUGUGAUGUGAUAUAGUGGAUGUAUGAGAUGAUCAUGUUGUAAUAGAAAUAUCGACUUGCACGUCGAUGGUACGGCAACCGGCAGGAGCCAUAGGGUUGUCUUUAUACUAACGUUUGUGCUUGCAGAUGCGUUUACUAUUUUGCUAGGAUGUAGCUUUAGUAGUAAUAGCAUAAGUAGCACGACAACCCCGAUGGCAACACGUUGAUGGAUGAUCAUGGUGUGGCGCCAGUGACAAGAAGAUCGUGCCGGUGCUUUGGUGAUGGAGAUCAAGAAGCACGUGAUGAUGGCCAUAUCAUGUCACUUAUGAAUUGCAUGUGAUGUUAAUCCUUUUAUGCACCUUAUUUUGCUUAGAACGGCGGUAGCAUUAUGAGGUGAUCUCUCACUAAAAUUUCAAGACGAAAUUGUGUUCUCCCCGACUAUGCACCGUUGCUACAGUUCGUCGUUUCGAGACACCACGUGAUGAUCGGGUGUGAUAGACUCAACGUUCACAUACAACGGGUGCAAAACAGUUGCGCACGCGGAACACUCGGGUUAAGCUUGACGAGCCUAGCAUGUGCAGACAUGGCCUCGGAACACAUGAGACCGAAAGGUCGAUCAUGAAUCAUAUAGUUGAUAUGAUUAGCAUAGGGAUGCUUACCACUGAAACUAUACUCAACUCACGUGAUGAUCGGACUUGGGAUAGUGUAAGUGGAUCAUGAACCACUCAAAUGACUAGAGAGAUGUACUUUUUGAGUGGGAGUUUAGCAUAUAAUUUGAUUAAGUUGAACUCUAAUUAUCUUGAACAUAGUCUAAGUCCACUUUGAAUAUAUUUGUGUUGUAGAUCAUGGCUCACGCGACAGUCAUCCUGAAUUUUAAUACGUUCCUAGAGAAAGCUAAGUUGAAAGAUGGUGGAAGCAACUUUGUAGACUGGGCUCAUAAUCUUAAGCUAAUCUUACAAGCUGGGAAGAAGGAUUAUGUCCUUAAUGCUGCGCUAGGAGAUGAACCACCCGCUACGGCUGAUCAGGAUGUUAAGAACGCUUGGUUAGCACGUAAGGAGGACUACUCAAUAGUUCAAUGUGCAGUCUUGUAUGGCUUAGAACCGGGACUUCAACGUCACUUUGAGCGUCAUGGAGCAUUUGAGAUGUUCCAGGAGUUGGAGUUUAUCUUUCAGAAGAACGCCCGGAUCGAGAGGUAUGAGACCUCCGAUAAAUUCUAUGCUUGCAAGAUGGAGGAAAACUUGUCUGUCACUGAACAUGUGCUCAAAAUGUCUGGGUACUCAAACCGUCUAGCUGAACUGGGGAUUGAACUCCCGCAAGAAGCUAUCACUGACAGAAUCCUUCAAUCACUGCCGCCAAGCUACAAAGGCUUUGUGUUGAACUACAACAUGCAAGGGAUGAACAAGUCUCCCGGCGAGUUGUUUGCGAUGUUGAAAGUCGCAGAGUCUGAACUCCAUAAAGAGCAUCAAGUGUUGAUGGUGAAUAAGACCACUAGUUUCAAGAGAAACGGCAAAGGCAAGAAGGGCAAUUCGAAGAAGAGCGGCAAGCCUGUUGCCAAUCCGCCGAAGAAACCCAAAGCUGGACCUAAGCCUGAAACGGAGUGUUUCUAUUGCAAGGGUAUGGGUCACUGGAAGCGCAAUUGCCCCAAGUAUCUGGCAGAUAAGAAGGCGGGCAAAGAAAAAUUAGGUAUAUUUGAUAUACAUGUUAUUGAUGUGUACUUAACCGGCUCUCGUAGUAGUACCUCGGUAUUCGAUACCGGUUCUGUUGCUCAUAUUUGCAACUCGAAGCAGGAACUGCGGAAUAGACGAAGGCUGGCGAAAGACGAAGUGACGAUGCGCGUAGGAAAUGGUUCGAAGGUUGAUGCAAUCGCCGUCGGCACGGUGUCACUUCAGCUACCAUCGGGAUUAGUGAUGAACUUAAAUCAUUGUUAUUUAGUGCCUGCGUUGAGCAUGAACAUUAUAUCUGGAUCUUGUUUAUUGCGAGACGGUUACUCUUUUAAGUCUGAGAAUAAUGGUUGUUCUAUUUCUAUGAGUAACAUCUUUUAUGGUCAUGCACCGAAUGUGAGAGGAUUGUUCAUAUUGAAUCUUGAUAGCAAUACACAUAUACAUAACAUUGAGACCAAAAGAGUUAGAGUAAACAAUGAUAGCGCCAUAUUUUUUUGGCACUACCGCUUGGGUCAUAUUGGUGUAAAGCGCAUGAAGAAACUCCAUGCUGAUGGACUUUUGGAGUCACUUGACUUUGAUUCACUUGACACGUGCGAACCAUGCCUCAUGGGCAAGAUGACUAAGACUCCGUUCUCCGGAACAAUGGAGCGUGCAAGUGACUUAUUGGAAAUCAUACAUACCGAUAUGUGUGGUCCAAUGAGCGUGGAGGCACGCGGCGGAUAUCGUUAUUUUCUCACCUUCACUGACGAUUUAAGUAGAUAUGGUUAUGUCUACUUGAUGAAGCACAAGUCUGAAACAUUUGAAAAGUUCAAGCAAUUUCAGAGUGAAGUGGAAAAUCAUCGUAACAAGAAGAUCAAGUUCCUACGUUCUGAUCGUGGGGGUGAAUAUCUGAGUUUCGAGUUUGGUGCUCACUUAAGACAAUGUGGAAUUGUUUCACAGUUAACACCGCCUCGAACACCAUAGCGUAAUGGUGUGUCCGAACGUCGUAAUCGUACUUUGUUAGAGAUGGUGCGAUCUAUGAUGUCUCUUACUGAUUUGCCCUUAUCAUUUUGGGGUUAUGCAUUAGAAACAGCUGCAUUCAC